GGGAGAAGACAAUAAUGACCGGGUACCGGCUGAGCUGGAGGAAGGGACUAAAGAGAGGGGGUUCAUAGUAGGGUGGGCACCACAAGAGGAGGUGCUGGAACACAAGGCCAUUGGUGGGUUCUUGACACACAGUGGGUGGAACUCAACCUUGGAGAGUGUGGUGGCUGGUGUGCCCAUGAUUUGCUGGCCAUACUUUGCAGAUCAGCAGAUUAACAGCAGGUUUGUGAGUGAGGUUUGGAAAGUAGGGUUGGACAUGAAAGAUGUGUGUGAUAGAGAUGUUGUGGAGAAGAUGGUAAAUGAUCUCAUGGUUCAUAGGAGGGAGGAGUUUCUCAAUUCAGCUAAAGCAAUGGCUAAGUUGGCUCACAAGAGUGUGAGUCCAGGUGGUUCCUCUUACUCCAGUCUCCUGGAUUUGAUUCAGUACAUUAAAUCAACCAGCAGGGAAAAUAAUUAACACUGCCACAAUUCAUCAAGUUUUCUUCUUGAAAACAAAAUCCAAAUUGGGAUCCUUUAGAAUCAAUUCCGUUUACCAUUUUCCACCAACUAAAUUCAGUUUUUAUUUUGGGGGUUGUGUCACAUUUUGAUUUGGUUGGUUCUUUAUUUCAUUUUGCGUGUAUAACUCUUUCUGAUGCUUUGGAUAUCAACUUUGCAGAAACGGUGCAUCUUAAUGGCAGUAUAUUGAAAAGGAAAUUUAUCUUUUGACAUCACUGUUCAUUAAAUAUAUUCAUUUAACAAUUUUUUUAAUAAAAUAUUAUAUAAUAAUAGAAUAUUAAUAUAUACAGUUGUAGAGUGAAUAUAGAAAAUUAACAAUAAUGUAAAAGUAUCAUGGUUUUUACUGUUGUGUUGUAAAUCUAUCACAAGCUAAUAAUAAUAAUAAAUAUGAAAUGUUAAAGACUUUAUCAUUACUAUAUUAAUAGACAUUAUUAAAUGAUUGUCUUUUUAAAGAAUUUGUUAUAAUAUAUUUUUCCUUUUCAUAGUGACAGCGACGUCCUGUAUGGAUACCUCAUGCAGAAGACAGAAGGGUGAGAGAAAGAAAAAGUGUCAAAUUUUCUGUAAUAUUUUAUGAAAAAUUAUAGUUUUAUAUUCUUAGAAUUGUAUACAAUAUUCUUGUGAUAAAUUUAUAUAUAUAUAUAUAUAUAAAUAUAUAUAUAUAUAUAUGAUAAAUUUAUGAUAAGAAAAAAUAUUAAAAUAAUAAUAUUAAGAAUUGGGGUGUGAUUGUAUAAAAAAUUAAAUUAUAAAUAUAUUAUGAUAUUUCCGUGUAGCUUGAGCGUGUUUCACAAAUUUUGAUGUGGUCAUCCGAUCACUGACCCUAAAAUGUCGGUGUGUUUUUCAUAUAAAAAAUGUACAUAAGUUUACUCGAUGGAUCUAACUCCCAUAAUAUAUUGUAUUUAAAUUAAUAAAUAAAUAAUUUUAAAUAAUUUUUUUUUGAAUAAAUUUACCUUUUAAUUUAUUAAAUUAAUUUUUUAUUUAUUUAAAUGUAUUAAGUAAAUGAUUUUACAUUAUUAUCAUUACAAUAUAUGUGUAAUAUAAGUAAAAAAAAUAGUAAUAGUCUGAUUUUUAAUAAAAUUUGAAUUUUAAUCAUAUUAUUAAAUAUUUCAUUAAAUAAAUAUAUAUUUUUAAAAUAAUAUAUUUAGACAGAUGAUUAAUGUUUUAAUUUAAACACUAUCUCAGAGGUUUUUCAGGUGGAGGUGAUAUUACAAGAAAAAAUAGUUUUAACGAGGAUUUAUUUUUACAUUAUCUAGGGUUAAAACCUCCAUUAAGUCAUUUAUCCAGGGUUGUAGUUUCCCCCGCUAAACCAUCUCUGGGGAAUGUGUUCCACAGGGUAUUUUUAAACCUUAGGAAAAGCCUUUCAAAAUACCAUGGGUUUCAAAACCUCCGUAAAAUACCAUGGGUUUCAAAACCUCCGUAAAAUACCAUGGGUUUGAAAACUUCCGUAAAAUACCAUGGGUUUUAAAACCUCCGUAAAAUACCAUAGGUUUCAAAACUCCGUAAAAUACCAUAGGUUUCAAAACGUGCAUAAAAUGUUUUAGAACCUCCUUAAAAAAUACCAUAGGUUUCAAAAUUAUGAAAUUUGUUUUUUUUAUUCAUUUACCUGGACAAAGAAUCUUUAACAAUUUAAACUAGCUUUACUGAAAAAAAAAAAGAAAAAAAAAAGAGGUUACACAUAUAGUGGGACUACCCAAGUUAGCUAGCUGGCUCAGCACAAUAGAUUUUAGCCUUUUAUGCACAUCCACAGUAAAUAAAUCUCAACUUUGUAUCAAUUUAAUGACUUAUAACCAUGACAUAUCAUGUAAUAACCAACACAUCUGAUAGUACCUAUGGAAAAUGUGGUCAUAAAUCUAUAACCAUUUGAAAUUGAUGAAAUUUCUUGACCGGUUAGGAUUUGGACUCAAACUUAAUCAAAAUCAAAGUGCACGGCAUGAAGAAUCUUAACCAUAUAGAACUCAUCCAACUUCGUCUUAAUCUCUUCUGAAGAAUCAACAUCUAAAACCAUUUUUAAUUCCUUACUAGUUGAUUGGACUUCAAUAAUAAAACAAGUCAUGUCAUGAUUUGUUUGUUUAAGAGAUGUCAAUUUAUGAGCAGAGUCAUAAAGUCGUUGAAUAUUAUUUACAAAAUACUCUUAGCCUUCUUCUGAAACGAGUGACACAAGCUCUAAGAGUGCCUAAUAUAUUGUGUUCCACAUAAUGGCACAACAAGGCACAAAGCUAAGAAUCAAUCUUUUUCCAUCGUUCAACUCUUUCUAAUGGUAUUUUACUACCAUCUUACAAGUGCUCAAGAAAACCAUGACCAAGAAACCACAAUUCAAUUGAUGGAGACCGAGGCAAAUCACUUUUUACUUUAAAUAAAGUAAUUGUAGGUGACAAAGAAAAUGAGUAGACAAAUCGAAAUGCCAUUACAGAUCAAAAACAAAUAGCACAUGUGUAAAAAAUGCUAUUUCAAGAUGUUCAAAUGGAGGCUUGAACAACAAUCAAUUAGUUUCAAAAGUAGUUUUUCAUCACACCACACAAACAUUAAUUAGUUUUUAUCCAUUCUUAAUCAUUUUCAUACACUACUCAAAAGAAAGAUCCAACAACCUUGUCAAAACUAGCCAACACAAAAACAAGGAAAACACCUAAACAUAACACUACCAAGCUUUCAAAUCCAACAAAAAAAACUAAAAAAAACUAUAAAUCAACAUCAAACACAUCAACGGAUCAAGACACCAAUUAAAAAAAAACAAGUUAAAGCAAAAUAAGAAGUAAUCCAGCAAAAUUUUCAUUUUUUCCACAAAAUUUAAACUCAUUAAUACCAGUUUAAACUCAUUAAUGAACAAGAUAAAACCAAUAUAUGACUGCAGGAUCGGUUUUGAUCACGUUCUAAUCCCACAUGAAUUCUUUAUUUGUUGAAUGAGUGUGUUUGGUACAUUAUUAUUAUGGUUUUGGUUUUGCCUUCCUAAUUUUUUGGCACACUUCCUUGAUCAGACACCUACAAUAUAAACAUAUAUCACAAUUAGAAAUGUAAAUCUGAAAAAUAAAACAAGUUAUUUAAAUUUUUUAAACAUUACCGAUGAACGAUUGAACAUAGUCAACUCAGGAGGCAAUUGACCUUGAUAACUUUGAAAGAAAAAAUUCAUCAUUAUCUCAAAUCUUUUUUCAUGUUCUUCAUAUCUUUUUUCACGUUCUUCAUAUCUUUUAUUUUGUUCAUCCAAUUGUGACUUUAAUGCAAUAACCUAUAUUAAAAAACAAUUUAUCAUGAAAAAGAGUGAGAAAACCAUACACAUUAAAAAAUUGCUACAUAAGAAAAUGCAUGUUAAAAAACCUGAUUCUCCAAUUCUCUAUAAGUAGUUGAAGAUAUCCCAGUGCGAGAAUUUCUAGUAUAUCCAAACACAUGAGAAGGGCAAGGUCCCAAUCCCAUCCCUCGAACACGACCACAAUGUUCUUCACUUCCAAAGGCAUGAGCUAGUGAAUCAUCAAUUGAUAUAUCAUGUGAGAGGGAAGAUGUAUUUGACUCAUAUGCUUGAAUCUUUUCCUACAAAUAGUGAAAAAAAGUUAUAAAUGAAGCUCACAUCCAAUUUGGUUGAGUUUUCAUCUUUACAAAAAUGAUACUUACCCCAAUCUNNNNNNNNNNNNNNNNNNNNNNNNNNNNNNNNNNNNNNNNNNNNNNNNNNNNNNNNNNNNNNNNNNNNNNNNNNNNNNNNNNNNNNNNNNNNNNNNNNNNNNNNNNNNNNNNNNNNNNNNNNNNNNNNNNNNNNNNNNNNNNNNNNNNNNNNNNNNNNNNNNNNNNNNNNNNNNNNNNNNNNNNNNNNNNNNNNNNNNNNNNNNNNNNNNNNNNNNNNNNNNNNNNNNNNNNNNNNNNNNNNNNNNNNNNNNNNNNNNNNNNNNNNNNNNNNNNNNNNNNNNNNNNNNNNNNNNNNNNNNNNNNNNNNNNNNNNNNNNNNNNNNNNNNNNNNNNNNNNNNNNNNNNNNNNNNNNNNNNNNNNNNNNNNNNNNNNNNNNNNNNNNNNNNNNNNNNNNNNNNNNNNNNNNNNNNNNNNNNNNNNNNNNNNNNNNNNNNNNNNNNNNNNNNNNNNNNNNNNNNNNNNNNNNNNNNNNNNNNNNNNNNNNNNNNNNNNNNNNNNNNNNNNNNNNNNNNNNNNNNNNNNNNNNNNNNNNNNNNNNNNNNNNNNNNNNNNNNNNNNNNNNNNNNNNNNNNNNNNNNNNNNNNNNNNNNNNNNNNNNNNNNNNNNNNNNNNNNNNNNNNNNNNNNNNNNNNNNNNNNNNNNNNNNNNNNNNNNNNNNNNNNNNNNNNNNNNNNNNNNNNNNNNNNNNNNNNNNNNNNNNNNNNNNNNNNCAACAUGACCUAAAAACCUAUUCAACAAUGCUCCACUGUCAUCAACUGGUUGGUUCUCGUUAUUCCAGUUAACAAGAAUCCUCUCACCAACAGAUAAAAACCAGACAUCAUUUGCUGUUAAUUGUUUCCUAACCUUUUUGCCUUCAUUAUCUGUCAAAAUUAUUGUUAGUUUAAGAGGACGAACAUAAAAAACAAAUACAAUGUGAGUUUGCAAUGUAUUGAUUCAAGCUUACCAAUGACAUCAACAAGCCAUGAUCUUUUACGUAAUACAUGCUUUGAUUGUUCAGUUUGCAUCUCAAUACCCACAUUUUCUUCCCUUUCUUCAUCAGAUUGUAACCUUGGUGUAGGUUCAAAUGUAGAUUCAUGGACAGAUUCAUUUGUAUUAUCAAAUUGAAAUUCAGGUGCAGAAUUGUUCUUAGUAGUAGAAAUCAACCUAUGAGGUGCAUGUGGGGGAGGAGUCUUCUUCUUAUUAUUCUCUAUAGGAUGAGAAUUCACAUGAGGUGCUACAUAAUAAUUAAAUGAAUACAUGUGAAAAAUAAUAUAUUUUUAAAGAGAAUUCCAAAUUAAAAUAUAAGUACAAACAUCUCACUAAAUGGAAGUUGUGUAUGAACUUACUUGAGUUAUUAAGGGCUGCAAGUUGGUCAAAAGUGUUAUUGAGAGUAUCAUGUUCUGUUGCUCUAGUCUUCUUGAUGGACAUUUUCUUCAUCUUCAGGUAUUCUUGAAAUAAUAACAUUAAUACAAGUCAAAAUAGAAAUUCAAUAAAUCAUAAUAUAAUGCAUGUAUAAACAAUAAUGUAUAAGUAUAAGGAUGAUAAUUUAAACAAAAAUAAUAUACAAGUGUUCCAUGGAGGUGGAGGGUGCACUGUUUCUCAGCGCAAGAAGUAUGUACGAUCAGUAAUGUCAAUAGAGGCGCAAGUGGCAGACGAUGUCCUCAACGUCGACCUUACUUUCAUGAAGGCCGACCUUCGAGAUGUCGUCCCCCAUGACAAUGACCAUGUAAUGAUUUCUGUAGUAACUGCAAGGAGGAAGGUGCACCGAGUGCUAGUGGACCAAGGCAGCUCAAUGGAUGUGAUGUUUUGGUCCACCUUUAAAAAGCUUUGAAUAGGCUGAGGGUGGUAGGAUCAACACGCCACAUGAAGAUGAAUUUGCCGAACUUGAGCGGGAAGGUGAUAACUAUCAAGUCGGACCAGCAAGAGGCUAAGAGGUGUUAUGAAAAUAGCCUCAAGACCAAGAGGGGGGUCUUCAUGGUUACAGAGUGCCCACCCAGCAGAGAUGAGGACGCUCGUACGGAGAUCUCCUAUGCAGAGAGCGCCCAGGAGAGGUGACCCGAGCCAGUAAGGGAUAUCGUGGAGAGGCAGAUUGGGGGCAAAACGUUUAAGCUUGGUAAAUCACUGGACCAAGCGGAGCAAGACCAAGUUGUUGGGGUGAUAGCACGACAUCUGGACGCUUUCGCAUGGUCCAUCUCGGACAUGCCAGGCAUAGACCCAGAUUUCCUGUGUCACCGCCUCACCAUGGACCCUAAGGUCAGGCCGAUCCGCCAAGGAAGUUUAAUGAAGAGAGGCGGUAGGUCAUAAAGGAAGAAACGAGGAAGUUGUUGAGCACCGGCCACAUAAGGGAAAUCCAAUACCCUGAGUGGUUGGCCAACGUGGUCUUGGUGAAGAAUGCCAACGGGAAGUGGAGAAUGUGCGUGGACUUCACCAACUUCAACAAGCCAUGCUCGAAGGACUCGUACCCCUUGCCAAGCAUCGACGCCUUGGUGGACAGUGCCUCGGGUUGCAGGAUGCUCAGUUUCUUAGACGCUUUCUCUGGGUACAACCAGAUUAAGAUGCACCCUAGAGACGAGUGCAAGACAACAUCCAUGACUGAGAUGUCUUGUUAUUGUUACACGGUGAUGCCCAUUGGGCUGAAGAAUGCAAGCGCCACCUACCAGAGGCGGAUGGAUAGGGUCCUUACACCCAUGUUAGGUCGAAAUGUGCAUGCCUACGUGGACGAUAUGGUGGUGACCUCGCAAGAGAGGGAUCAACACGUGGCUGAUCUGGAAGAGCUAUUUGCCACGAUAGCAAAAUACAGGCUGAAGCUGAACCCCGAGAAGUGCGUGUUUGGGGUGGAGGCAGGUAAAUUCUUGAGUUUCCUACUCACCGAGCGUGGGAUAGAGGCAAAUCCCAAGAAAUGCGCUACAAUCCUUGCAAUGAGAAGCCCAAUCUCAGUGAAGGAGGUGCUGCAGUUAACGGGGCGGAUGACCGUUAUGUCCAGAUUUGUAUCAACUGGAGGAGACAAGGGCCACCCCUACUUCCAGUGUCUGAGGAGGAAUAGCCGGUUCGUCUGGACCAGAGAGUGCGAUGAGGCAUUUCUCAAGUUGAAGGAGUAUUUCGCUAGCCCCCGGUGUUGUGUAAGCCACAGUUGGGCACAUCGCUCCAUUUGUACUUCGCUGUGACGGAGCGGGCGAUCAGUUCGAUCCUCGUACAAGAGCAGGAUCAGGUGCAGAAACCAAUAUACUUUGUGAGCAAAGUAUUGCAAGGACCGGAGGUAAGAUACCAAGCCCGGGAGAAGGCAACCCUGACCGUGGUGUUCUCGGCUAGGAGGUUUCGUCAUUAUUUUUAGAGUUUCACGGUGGUGGUAAUGACGGACUUGCCCAUACGCAAGGUGCUGUUGAAGCCAAAUGUGGCAGGAAGGAUGGUGCGAUGGGCAGUAGAACUUUCGAAGUUCGAUGUUGAGUAUGAGCCUUGAGGCCCCAUCAAAGACCAAGUAUAUGCGGACUUUGUGGUAGAGCUCUCCUCGGUAGAUGCACAAUAAGAGGAGGAGGCCAGCUGCAGAUGAGUGCUCUCCGUGGAUGGGUCCUCCAACCAGCAAGGCAGUGGAGCUGGCAUGAUCUUGGAAGGACCAAACGGGUUUUUGAUUGAGCAGGCCCUGAGGUUCGCUUUCAAGGCCAACAAUAAUCAGGCAGAGUAUGAAGCCCUCAUCGUCGGCAUGCUUUUGGCUAAGGAGAUGGGAGCGCGGAGCUUGUUGGUGAAGAGCGAUUCCCUUUUGCUCAUGGGUCAGGUGAUUGGGGAAUAUUAAGCCAAAGGUCCACAGAUGGUUGUGUACUUUGUGUACGUCCAAAUUUUGAAAGGAUUGUUCGUGGUGUUUGAGCUGGUGCACGUCCCAAGAGAGCAGAAUGCCCGAGCUGACUUGCUAGUCAAGCUCGCCAGUUCGGGCAAGGGGGGCAGGCAGAGGACAGUCAUACAGGAAACCCUCAAGGCCCCAUGAACCUUUGUUGUUGAUAAUAUGGUGGGCAUUCAUCAGGUCAACAAGGUGCCGCUAGAAGAGCUAAGGUCGAUUUACAACUUGUGGUCAUUUCACACGUGGGGAAUCAAUAUUCUAGGGCCCUUUCCUUUGGCGAUAAGGCAGAUGAAGUACCUUGUAGUGGCCAUAGAGUACUUCACGAAGUGGAUAGAGGCUGAGCCAGUAGCAUAAAUCACAGCUCACAAGAUCCAACACUUCGUGUGGAAGAAUAUAGUGUGUCGUUUUGGCGUGCUGAGGCGUCUAGUUUCCGACAAUGACACACAGUUUGCGAGCCAACAACUGGGCAAGCUAUGCACAGAGGUUGGAAUAAACAAAUGUUUGCGUCAGUUGAGCACCCCCAGAAAAAUGGGCAGGUUGAGUUUGCCAAUAGAGUCCUACUCAGAGGUCAAAAGAGAAGACUCGAGAAGGCUAAAGGAACCUAGGCAAAAGAGGUUCCUAGAAUAGUGUGGGCUUACCACACCACACCUUAGUCCACCACCAGAGAGACACCCUUCAGCUUAGUGUAUGGGCCAGACGCAAUGAUUCUGGUAGAGAUUCAGGAGAGUUCGCCACGAUUUCAGAGUUUCGUGGCUGAGGAGUCCAACGAAGAGAGAAAGGUGAACCUAGAUCUACUGGAUGAGGUCAGGAAGAAGGUGAGAAUCAAAGCUGAAGUGUUAAAGAGAAGGGUGGAGUACAAACACAGCUCGAAGCUAUGGUCCCACCGGUUCCAAGUCGCCGACCUGGUGAUGUGGAAGGCUCACCCAUAUCAGCUAGAUAACAAGUUGUCCCUCAAGUGGACUGUCCCUUUCAGGGUGACGGAGGUCCUUGGAAACGGGGCGUACAAACUUGAGACGUUAGAGGGAGGCGCAAUUCCUCGUACCUGGAAUGCGGUCAAUUUCAAGUUUUAUUUUAGUUGAACUCUAGCAUUGUACACAGAUUCAAGGGAACACUCUUUUUCCCUUUUUAAGGAUUUUUUUAACGAGAUCACCCAAUAAAAUUUCGAUUAGAGUAUAUAUUCUCGAGUUUUUUGUGCAAGUGCAGUGAUGAACCUGUCGUUUUGGUGCUAGAUACCUCGAGAGGGAGUGGCAGUGGCAGCUUCCACUUAGGACGCCUUCCCCUCGAGUGUGAACGCCAAGUUCAAACAGCAAGGUUCAACCAGUUAAGUCCUCUAUUGCCUUUGAGCAAAAACGAGACCAGUUACACACCUUGAGGUUAGAAGCCUUGAGAGGGAGUGGCAGCUUUCGCAUAGGGUGCCUCCUCUCAAGUGGGAACGGCAAGGCUCGACAAAAAGGUUUCUUAGUUAAAAUCCUCUAUUACCUUUGGACAAAGACAAAGCCAGUUAAGGGUUCACGUGUGCCUCACCGUCAUCUCAAGUUACCAAGAAGUGAAGGCAAGAUGAGCAGAAGGAUGAGAAAACGUGCUACCUAAAGUUCAAAGUUUUAAAGUUUGUCAAGGACAUCGUAUGUUAAAGAUAUUAGCUUUGAAGUGCCGCUAGCAAGUUGGCGGUUAAAGACAUGAUUAUUGGCAAGCAAAGACAACAAAAUAAGUAAAGAAAGGUGCAAGUUAUAUUAAUUACAAGAUUACAGAAGGGCAUUGAUUCAAAGUUAAAACAUAACAAGCUCCUAGUGAGGGCGCCUAGGCACAAUCUGCCCAUCCACGACGUGGUUAGACGUCGCAAAGGGGGAGGUGUCCAUCUCAGGAUGCUUGCAAGCAACGUGAGCAAGAGCGUCCUCGAACCCCGCUGCGUAGGCGUCAACAACAUCAUCGAUGAGCUCCGCCUUGGCCCUCUCAAAGGCUUCAGCUUGUGUGGUGAGCUCAACCUCCACUUUGCCUAGCUGCACCUCCCGAUCAGUGGCUCACUCUUCGAGUUUAGCCAUCCUAGCUUUAUUGGCCAUAGCUUCGGCCUCGAGUUCCGCCACCUGGGUGCGCAGUGGCACAACCUUAGCCAGCAGGGUAAUGUACUCUUGACCCUUAUAGAAGAGUUUUUUGUUGGUUUCCAGCUCAGCCUGGCGAAGGGCGCUUACUUCCUAUUGAGGCGCGGUCUCGCGGUUGGAGAAGACUCGGGCCUGUUGGGCCAGUUGCUCCUUUGCCAGGGCCAGUUCUUCCUUCGCCUUCGCCUCAACCAAGGCUAGUUGUUCCUUUACCCUUGACUCCGCCUCGUGGGAAAGGGCAUCAGAUUGAGCAAAGAACUUACUGAGGCUAAGAGCCAGGCUAUCCCGCACAACAGUUUCACUCAAUCCUUCCAUGGCUCCUUUCUGGAAGCCCUUGAGGAUUUGUUGAAGGACCAGGUGGAGCUUAGAAGCAGGAGCAGGUUCAGGGAGGCUCUCAUCGCCACCCUCGAGCGCAAAGAAGCCUUGGUGGGAUGAGGCGCUUAGUGGAUGAUCCCUGAACAAGGCAGGGCGCCUAGCGAAGGAAGAAUGGGAAGUGACCGCUACCGCCGCCCAGCGUCUUUUGAAGACGGGGCCCUCCAUGGUGUUUUCGUCAUCGUGAGAUAUGAUCUCCACCACCCCCUUGCCUUUCUCAAGGGUGCCUGGAGUAGGAGAAGCCUUGACGGUGGCCAGAGGGACUGCGGCAAUGGGGACUGAGGGAACGGGAGAAGGAGCGGCUUGGAUGGUGUUUGGAGCGGAAGGAGCUGAGGCACCCGACCAGUGGCCACCUCUUGACGAAGAGCCAAUACCUCAGCCAGCCUUGCCCGUUUGUCUUCGUUCAGCACCAUGCCUACAUCAGAACAAGAAGAGAUGAUAACUUAGCAAAAUGAGGUUGAGUCAGAAAUCAACACAUGAAUAAGUAUGAGGUAACAAAUAAAAGCAAAGUAGAGUAAAGAUAAGGGGAAGGUUAGAAACAAGUUUCUAUACCAAUGUAGCCAGUGAGUCUAGUUGGACUGUACUCAUUCUUGAUGAACUCGACGGUGUUGAAGACCGCCCUAAGGCUAGCCAACACUUGGCACACCUCGCGAUCAGCAGAGGAUAGCUCAUCAAGAGUCUUGGCUUUCUUGAGGGUCAACUUCCCCACCCAAUACAAGGGGAACCCGUUCAGUAGGGUGCAGUCGCGUUCAGAGCAGCACACCCUAAAGAACUUCCCCUUGAAGCCCUUGUAUGAUUGUUGAAACAGGGUGAGGAUGACUCUUCCUGUCACCACGCUGAAGCUCACACAUAGGUUCUUCCCAGGGUUCUUGGCUUCGAAGAAGUGAAGGAAGACGUCUACGGAGGGUGGAUAGCCGAAGUGGUUGCAGAGGAUGGAGAAGGCCCUCAAAAAGGCCCAACUGUUGGGGUGCAGCUGGGCGGGAGCAACGUUCACCUCCGUUAGUAGCUCGCUCUCGAAGUUGCUAAAGGGGAGACGUUGCCUUAUACGUUUAAAGGCAGUUUGGUAGAAGAAGAAGAAGAAGGAUUCUCCUUCGUUGGCGUGAUCGUCUACACACACGGGUUCGCCCUCUGCACAUGGACAAACCGAGACGUACGCAUCGCUCUCUCUCCUAAAGGCCCUACCCUUAAACUCAGGCUCACACUGUCUAGAUGUGCCCUCCAAUCCGCGAUGUAGGUGAGGGUGGAGGUUUCGGCAAGAAACUCAACGGAUGCCCAAGGGUACAUGUCUUUGUAGUUGGCGUUGGGUGGAGGGUUGAAAGUGGUUUUCGUUCGAGCCAUGUCGAAGGAAGCUGGGAAAAAGCAAGGAAAAGAAGAAAACAAAGGUUCAGAAGAGAGGCUAUGGCAUAACUUAAAGAGAAACCUAGAAACCCUAUGAUCGCAGAAAAACCCAGAAAACAAAGGAACGAAGAACAAAUGCAGAGGAAAACCUAAAAUGCGGAAGUUUAAACAGACCCAGGCAGUUAUCAAUGCGCGAAAUCAGAUCCAUACCUUUGAUUGAUGAAGAGUGAAAGUUUUGAUUUUUCGCGAUGAGGAAGCGAGAGCGUUUGAAGAAGAAGAUGAAGAGUGUGAGUGAAGUUUUUGAAAGUGAUGAAACAAUGUUGGAAGUGCGUGUUUUUGAACGUUUAACGUAAACCUAAAAGCGCAAGCGAUGUUAAGUCCCAGCCAUUCGAUCAAGACACGUGUGCGCAGACUAAGACAGGUACAAGAAAGCGUCACUUCGAUGCACUGUACAUGUCCUGUCACAUGAAGCCACGUAGGUCGUCAGGGCGAGGACUUAGUCUCCUCGCUGAACAAGAUAAUAGCUCGAGACUGGGGGCUUGUGUACUGACCAAUCCUCGGACUUCGGUGGUGACUACAGUUAUGGUGGGCCACAUAGGUUUGGUCCCACCAGAAGCAUGGGCCAGUGACUCGUGAGGCACGAGAGUCAAGAUUGCUGAGGAGUGGUCAGCAACGGGACUGAAGGGCGAGGAGUUCUCGAACCUCGGUGACUCGAGCAGUAAAGAUGGGACGUGGAAGGUGGUUGCCAAGCCACGCUCUAUUUUUCAAUGAGGGAGAAAGCUAGAUCACGAGGGCUCCGUGCAUGUGGUGUGGAGGAUGCGUUUGGACGUAACAUAAGUAAAAGAGCCCCUGGAAAAGAGACGACUCGUGAGGGUCACGUUCCAGGGGUGAUCCGCGUGCAUGGCACGUGGAUCAGCUAGAGCACUCCCAGGGCAGAUGGUCCCAAAGAUUGGGUGCAUGAGUUGGCACCCAAGUGGACAUCCCGUCAGAGGUUGCAUUCCGAUAAGGGAGUCUUACGCGCUAGAUAGCCCUAAGAGCGGGUGAUAGUGACGCUAAGGCACACUUACAGUAAACCUAAUUACAGUUAGCAAGAAUGGGGGAAACCCUAUAGUAUAUAAAGGGUAACAACAAACAUAACAAGGUACGCAAUUCUAACGCGAAGUAACAUACAGAGAGAAUACACACACAGACCUCUCAAAGUUAAGAGCUUUUUGAUGUUUCGUAGCCCUAUCUUUGACUUGAGCGUCAGAGUGCAAACGACCACGAUGGCGCCUUUUGUCUUUGUGUUUUCAGGUGUUCAAUCGAAGGAUAAACAUGUGGGAAAGCAGGGGUUCUUGGACGCGAGAUUGUCGUAGACGCACGAAGACGUUUUGGGUCAGCUGGCGGGAACAUAUUUAUAAUUGUAUUAACUAUAAACGCUACUUCACGAACAUAAUUUCAAUUUUUUAGAAACAACAAAAAUAUUUUUAAUUUUAACAAUAUUUAAAAAGUACUAAAUAUUUUACAUUUAUUACACAACCUAUUUUUAAUCCAACUUAAUUUUAGGUAACUUUGUUUUUGUGAAAACAAAAUUUAGUUUUAAUUUUUUUAAUAUUAUUUAUCUAUAAAAUACAAAUUUUCGCAAUAUUCUUAUUCUUAUUCACUUCAUGUAAUUUUAAACAAAUUUUAAAUUAUUAUUAUGUACAUAUUUUUAAAUUUAAAAAAUAUUAAUUAUUUAAAAAAUCAGCUGGACUUGUCAACAAAAUUAACAACUUUAAUGGAGAUAAAAUAUACUGAAGUUGUCAAUCCAAUGUCCAAUUUUAUUUAAUCUGAAGUUCUCAAAAACAAAAGUGCACGAAUGAAUGAAUUUAAUUGAUGUUGCCUACAACUUUGACUAAGAAAUCCCAUUCCUAAAUUCAGGUUUUGUUUUGGGGUUCUGUCACAUUUUGAUUUGAUUGGUUCUUUAUUUCGUUUUGCGUGUAUGACUCUUUGUUAUGCUUAGGAUAUCACCUUUGCACAGACGGGCUUAUGUUGUUUUUUUUCUAUUUAUGUUAAUAGCAAUAUAUUAAAAGAGUAAUGAUACAUUGACAAUGCAUAUUUUUUAUACAAUCACAUUACAACUUUCAAUAUUAUUAUUUUAAUAUUUUUUAUAUCAUUUAAUUUCAAACUUAUAUUUUAUUAUAUAUAUUUAUUUUUAAACUUAUCACAAGAAUUGUAUACAAUUCCAUAGUUGUAAAAGUAUCAUUUUCCAUAUUAAAAACUCCUUUUAAAACAACAGUAAUAACCCUCCUAAUUAAUAUAAUAAUAAUAUAAUAAAUAUAAAAAGGAAAAGAUUUUAUUAUUAAUAUAUUAAGAAAUAUUAUUAAAUGGUGAUUGUAUUUUAAAAGAAUUUUUUAAAAUAUAUUUCCCUUUUCACAUGUCAUAUGACAGUUACGUCCUGCAUAGAUACCUCAUAGAUACCUCGUGCAAAACACAUAAUGGUGAGAGAAACAAAAGGAAAAAAAAGUCCUUGUUUAACUUAAAAAAUAUAACAUACCUUGACAAACCACUUUAAUAAUAUAAUAAUAUAUAUUAAAAUUUUAAAUUAAAAAUAACAAAUAUUAUUAAAAUAUUAUUAUUUAGAUGUCAUGUGUAUGUUUUUUAUUUGAUGGGUGACACCCUAUUAACUAAUAUUAGGCACUUAUAUAUAUAAUAUUGUUAACUUAUAUAUGACCUUCAUUUUUUUUUAUAUGUGAAUAAUAAUAAUACAUUCUUUCUUCUUCAUAAUAACUUCUAAUAUGGUAUCAGAGCUAUUUUUCUCUCAUAGCAUCUUUUCCUGCUUAUUCUUCUUCUUCUCCUUCUUCCUCUUCCUCUUCCUCUUCCUCUUCCUCUGAUUUUUCUCAACCCAAUUUUCCAAUGGUUGCACCACCUUUACAUCAUUUUUUAACCCCAAUCACACUCAAGCUAACAGAUGAUUUAUUUAUUUAUUUGGAAACAACAAAUAUUUGCCACUCUUUGCGGGCUCGACCUUAUGCACCUCUUGGACGGUAACAGUGUGUCGUCGCAGUUUCUCCAAACUGCAAAUCGAGAACCCACCACCAACCCUGCAUAUCUACACCAUCAUAAACAAGACAAAUUAUUAGUAGCAUGGUUGUUUGCAUCAAUGUCAUCCUCCAUCUUGACCAAAAUGGUAGGUCUUGAAUCCUCUUAUGCCAUUUGAAAUCGGUUAUCCACGUACUAUGCAUCCCACACCUAGGCAACUAUAAAAAAACUUCGUCUUCUCCUUCGCACACCAAAGAAUGAAAGAUCCGUGCCAACUAUGUUCUUGACAUCAAGAAGACAGUUCAUUCAGUAUCUGCCAUAGGUGCUUCCAUUUCCACUACUGAACACAUAAAUGCGAUCUUGGAUGGUCUAUCGGAAGAAUACGAUGGUUUCAUCAUCACUAUUCUCUCACGUUCUGAUCCAUAUACUACUGACGAGCUUGAGUCUCUAAUCCUUGCUCAAGAAGAAAGGUUUGAAAAACAUAAAGUGUUGCAAAGUUCCAUUAUUCAAGCAAAUCAUGUUACUACAUUGUGGUUCUCCACUCGUCCAAACAAGAAAUCCAAUUUUCACAGCAAAGGGUAUUGUGGUGGUCACACGCAGACUCGUCCUCCCCAUCCGAGCAGUUCAACUUCGUUUUUUGGAUCAAGAACCACAACACGUCCUUCUUUCCGCCCAACAAGACUUGGUUCCUCACAUCUCUUCCCUACGGAUCCAAAGUUGUAGGUUACAAAUGGAUUUUCAAAAACAAUACAAUGUUGAUGGCUCUUUUCAAAGGCACAAAGAACGUCUUGUCGCAAAAGGCUUCAGUCAAACUGCAAGUUGUGACUACAACAAAACCUAUAGUUUUGUUAUCAAGCCAUCAACCAUUCGAGAUUCGAGUUGUUCCCUCGCAUGUUGUUUGUGUUGCAUGACCAAUACAUCAAAUUGAGGUUAACAAUGCAUUUAUGAACGGUGAGCUUCAAGAAGAUGUUUAUAUGAAACAUCUUCUAGGAUUCGAGUCUUCAUCUCCCCACCUUGUUGCAAACUUCAGAAAGUCAGCUAUGACUUGAAGCAAGCACCGCGAUCGUGGUUUGAAAAGCUACGUUACACUUUAGAAUUUUUUGGUUUCCACUAUACUAAGAGUGAUAAUUCCUUAUUUGUUAAGUUUCACAAAUCUUAUACUAUUUUCAUUUUAAUCUAUGUAGAUGACAUCGUAAUUACAGGGUCUUCUGCUUCCCACAUUCAAGCUCAGAUACAAAAACUGGGCUCAUAUCUACAUAUUAUUACUCAUUCAUCUCUAUAAGUAGGUAAAUUUUACAUUAUUCACAAAUUUUACUCACAAAUCUAUAUCAGUAAGUAAAUUCAAUAUUAUUAUUAAUAUAAAUAUUUUUAUUAGUAUUAUUAAUAAUAUUAACAAUAUUAAUAGUAUUGAAAAUAUAAUAAUAUUAAGAAAAUAAAUUAUCUUAGUAGUUUUAAUAAUAAAAAUAAUAUUAAUCAUCAUAAUUAUAUGCCUAAUAUUAAUAAUAUUAUUAUAAUAUGAAUAAUUAUAAAUAAUAAUUAUAAUUAAUAUUCAUAAAUAAUAAUAAUAAUAAUAAUAAUAAAUGAUGUACUGGUACGACCGGAUGACUUGUCAAGUUGGCCAGCACUCAGCCCAUGCUGCCACACGAACAAUAAAGGGGCGACCGCUCCACACAUGUGGCCGACCGGUCCAUAUCGCUCAAGUCGAAGGUUGACCAGAUUAGCAAGGCUAAUCCACGGUUAAGGGUGGCUUAACACAAUCCUAAACGCAAACCAACUCCCUUAACCUGACCCAACAUCAAAGGCCCAUUAAGGUAAUAUAAAUAGCACGCAUUUCAAGGAGAAAGGUACGUCAUUAUCUACAGUACUCUGACAACCGAGUGCCGGUAUCCCACUGACUUGAGCGUUGGAGUGCCUUCUGCAGGUACCCUCCCGCCUGAGGAGUUGGACGACCAGGAAGGCGAACGCAUCGAGGAGCAUCAAGAGUGUGAAACCGAUCUGACACAUCAGGAGCAAUCGUUCUCUAGGUCCCCAACUCGUCCGAGAACAAAUGAUAAUUAUAAAUAAUAAUUGUAAAUAAAAUAAUAAUGAAAAAACUAAAUAAUAUGCAAAAUUAGUUCCGGAUUUACCUGAAGUUGAUAAGUAUUACCUAUGAUCUCAAGUUGGUUGGUAUUACCUACAAAUUCAAAUUGAUGGGUAAUACCUACACCCUCAAGUUGGAGUUAUUAUCUACGGACUAGAAUAAAUAAAUAUUACCUAUGAAUUAAAAUUGAUGGAUAUUAUCUAUGAAUUAGAGUUGAUAAAUAUGCAUAUUAUUACAUGAUAAAAUUAAUAAUAAUAAUAAUAAUAUUAAUGAUAAUAAUAAUAUUAAUAGUAUUAAUAAUAUUAAUAAUGUUUAUGGUAUUGAUAAUAUUAAUAAUAUGAAUGAUAUUAACAAUACUUAUAUUACUAAUAAUAUUAAUAAUAUUAAUCAUAAUAAUAAUAAAAAAAAGAAAUUUGUGUGAUGUAAUGGGAAUGGAUGUUAAAAUAUGAUUUUUUUAGUUUAUAAUUUUAUUCUAGUAUUUUCUUUUGCCUAGCCACUACUUAAUUGUUAUUUUUUUUAUACCAUUCCUAGCAUGAGUUUAAUGUUCGUUUAGCAGACUUUAAACUUUCAGAUCAUUUUUGUGAGUGAUGGAAAAGGGUUUGCUAGACCAAUGCUAGUAGUGUCUUUUUUUUUUACCAAUACUAAUUUAUGAUAGUUAAUAAACAUUAUUGGUAAUGAGAUGUACUUAAACUAUUUUUUAAUUUUUGUGAUCACAAAGAAGAUACGAAGUAAUAUUUUAGUACACUUAUUAAUAAAAAGAACAUAUGUAAUUAAUAUUCUAUUAUUGCAAGUUGAAAUAUCAAUAUAUUGUCAAAAUGAGGUGUAAAGGAGUUUUAUUUGUCUUGAAAGAUGUGAAGGUAUAUUUUGAAAGAGGAAUAUAAAUAGAGAUUGAAUCGUCCGAGAGAGAUAAUAGUAUGGCAGAAGAAUAGAAGAAGAGGAAACAGGUGUAAACCAUGUGCUCCUCUUACCGGGACCAAUGCUAGGUUUUAUCUCCUUCCUUUCUUCAAAACUUCAUCCUUCUUAUUUCAAUGAUUUUAUCUUAGGAUUAUUUUUUUUAACUUGAUAUCUCUUUUAAGGAUACAAAUUAAUAAAUUAUCUUUGAAACGUUAAUCAUAAAAUUUAGAAUUCUCACAUUGAACUUUACCAUCAUAUCCUUAUUUAUAAAUAACUUCUUAUAUCUUAUUUUAUCAGUAUUACUUAAUUUAAAAAUAAAGACGAUUAAAAAUGUAAUAAAAUUAUUUUUUAUCAGCAAAGAAAUUAUAUUUCUGUAGUAAACUAUUUAAGGCAUUAUAAUCUAUUUAUACUCUAAAUAUAUUGAGUAAACAUAAAAUUUAUAAUUAUUAUUCGUUGUUAUACUAUAAUUAUUAGUAUUUUUGUUAUGAUUAUUCUUAUUAUUAUUAUUUUUAAUAUUGUUAUCUUUUAUCAUUAAAAUUAAUAAUAAUAAUAAAAUCUGUUCAUUACUAUGCCACAUGAAUAGUUCAUGAUUAACAUAACCUAACAUAAAAAAAUAUGAAUUUACAUACAAAGAAAUUCGAAGAAAAUUAUUUUUGUAGUGUUGGAAGUAAUCAAACUCUAAAUAUAAUGACUAAACAUAAAAUUUAUAAUUAUUAUUCUUUGUUGUUAUACUAUAAUUAUUAUUGUUUCUAGUCCCAUGACUUAUGAAGUCGCAUUGCAUUGUUAAGCAAUAAUAAAGAAGGUAAUUUAUACCAAUAAUAAAUUAUUUUAGACUACUAACAUCUAAAAAAAAAAUUACUGAAACGUGAUCUAUGUCAAAAGAUUGAAAAAGUCUUUUAAAAAAUUGUAGACUAUUGUUUUUAAAUAUCUACUUAUCAAAUUAACAUUUUUCAUACCAAAAAAGUGUAGAAAUUCAUGGGUUAGAUUAGAGCAUACUUUAAUAAUAAUUUGAGAAAAGUCACGUUCCAUCAAAUUUAAUUCUAUUCGAAGUUGUGAGGUGCAUGCUGCGUCAAACUUCAUACACUACGAGCUUUAUCCCCUGUUUAGCAGUUUCUAGUGGUUUGCUACGAUACGAUAAUUUUUUUUCAAUGAAAAUUUGAUUUAAAAUUUUAGAAUUACUUGUUUUUCAAGAUUAAAAACGUAAAAAGGUAAUUUAUAAGAUUUUCUAAUUUUGUAUUAACAAAUUUAUAAAAAAUAAUGUCAUAGAAACAAUUAAAUACUAAAAUUUUUCCUGACAGUUUAAAUUAAAUAAAAUUUCAUUUAAAGAAUUUAAUUAAAAUUUUCGCAAAAAGCUAAAUUUGAAAUUUAAAGUAAAGAAAAAAUAUAAAAAAGAUGAAUAGUGUAUUAAAGAGUAUUGAAUGAAAGUCAACUCUAAUCAAAAGUCGUUUCCAUGAUCUGCAUUACAAACAUUAUAUUAGUGUGUCUAUUUUAUUAUCUCGUUAAAAUAUAUAUUAAGUUUUUAUAUAUAAAUAUAUUUUUUAUCAUUAUUUUCUCUCGUGACACUAUUUUUUAUUGAAGGUUCAUUAAUCAUUAUUUCUAAAUCAAAACUUAAUAAAUAUAUUCAGGAGUUAUAACUUACAUUGUUAGGUUUUAUCAUCCUCCUUCUUUAUUUCAAUGAUUUUAUCUUAGGAUUAUUUUUUUAAACUUAAUAACUCUUUUAAGGAUACAAAUUAUAAAAUUAUCUUUGAGAAUAAUUUGGACAAUUCUCACAUUGAUAUUGAAUAAUUGAACUUUACCAUCAUAUCCUUAUUUAUAAAUAACUUCUUAUAUAUUUUAUUUAUCAACAAUAAAAAAAAAAUAAAAUGAGACAUUUUAAGAGUGUUUCAAUCUUUAUACAGACACUGCACGACUGUCUCAACCCUUAUUCACAAAAUGGCCAAAGUCAACCUGUUGAGCACCUGACCAUCAUACAUUAUUCAGGCACUUGACCAUGAUACAUUAUUCAGGCUCUACAGACCUCCAAACCAAACCUCUAAAGAAAGAAAUGAUUGACCACACCAAAAGAAAACCCCUACUAUCCUAUCUGAGUUCAUACAAUUUGUCUUUAGUCUAAACAAUACACACACAAAAAAAACUCUACACAACCAAAAGACUACAAACACAGAUACAUAUCAAAAUACAAAUACAAAUCAAAAUCUCUCACUCACAGCCAAACCCAUAAAACCAUGCCAAAAAAACCCACUCUCUUCAAAACCUGCAGGACUUUACCUGCUUGCUGACUUGCCUGGUUGCCUUAAAACCUAUUCAAAACCCACCACAAUGCCUGGUUGCCUUAAAACCUGUUCAAAACCCACCACAAGAGAUAAAAAAAAUAUCAAAACUUACCUUCAACACACCAGAAUCUAACUCACAACCUUCAACCAAUAACAAAUCCAACUUCUUAUAUCUUAUUUCAUCAUUAAUUGAGUUUAAAAAUCAAGACAAGCAAAUAAAUUAUAUUUUUUAGUAAAGUAUUUAAGGUAUUAUAAUCUAUUUAUACUAUAUUUACAUAAAGCAAGUCCAUCAGCCCAGUCUUAUUUGUUCUGCUUAACUAACAAAUCCAACGAAUGAAAGAUAAGUUAGGAAUGACUAUCUCGUCGACCUAUUUUUUUAAUUCAAAAAUAAAAUAAAAAUAAUUUAAAAGAUUAUAUUUUUCUCUUCCAUGAUUUGAAUGAUGCAAAUAUAAAAUAAUAUCAUAACUUAAAAUGGUUAACAUUUAUAAAUGAAGUAACUUUCAAACAAAGUAAUUUAACAUAUAAAUGUAAUAAUUAUUUUAAUUUAUUGAAUUAGAAACAUUAAUUAAAAAAACAAGACUUAAUUUGCUAGACAAAUUAAAAUUUUAUACCCACCUAAACUUUAAUCCCCCUAAACAAAUAAUAUAUGGAUUGAGCAGUUUUAUUAUACUAAUAAAUUAAGUGAGGAAAUGGUAAAUGUUAGAAGACUUGAGAAGGAGUUGGACUGAAUAUACAUAGGUAAUAUGAAGCUUUAUGUCAAUGUUUUGAGAUAUAGAAGAGUUGGUUAUGAAGUAGGUGAUCAGGGGAAGAAGACAAAAUAGUCACGUACCUACGAAGAACACAAGGGAGGAGGUUUGGAAGGAAAAGUUAUGAAAGGAGGAAUGAAAGUUAAGUAUGAACAAGCAGUCCUAUGCUGAUGCAGUGAGAAGAUCUCCACAAGUGAAAUAGAAAGGAACGGUUUUUGAGACCAAGUCGCAAGUUCUACCUAGGAUUGUUAGUAGUGUGGUUGGCAAAAUGGUGCCAGAUCUUGACUUCAAUCAGCUCCAAGAGAAAUUCUUCAAAGGGGGGAUGAGUAUGGUUAGAGUGAGGUAUAUGGGGGAUAACCUAGUAUUAUUAACACCAAGAGAAGGUGAAUGUAUGGACGAGAUGUUAGUCAUAAAUUAGUGUGAGUUAGAUGCUACGAUGCCCUUUUUUCUAUGGAAUAAGGAUUGUCUUGCAAAUGUGGUUGGAGAAGUGGCUACUUUGGUGUCCAUUGAUGAAGUUACAGUAUUAUGGGAUAAUCUUGAAGACGCUAGAAAACAAGUAAGGCUUCGAAAGUCAUGUAGCGCAUCUUUGUCCAAGAAUAUGAGGAUUAACGCAAAAGUAUAUAGUGUACAUAUAGUAGAGGAAAUCAGUAGUCAAGGUGGAGAUUUAUGUAAGUGUAAGUGUAUUCGAUAUGCCUCUUCAGAUAGUGUGUCUUCAAGGGAUUUUGUAGUCGAAGAAACCAUCUUCUUGGGGAAGAAGAGCGAUGAAGGGGAAGGUAACGGAGGAGAAGGGUCGUGGCAGGAGAUCACAUGCAAGAGGGACGAUCAAGAUUUCUCUACGAAAGAGACAAAAAGGGGUUUCGUUGAGGAAUGUUUUUCAAGUAGUGGGAAGGGAGUGCAGAAGAAAGGUAACUCUUCAUUCACAAAAGAGGUUAGGCGUGUGUAGGUGGGUUCAAAUGGAGAGGAAACUUUAUCUGUGCAUGAGAAGGUCAACCGUGCAUGUCAGACUAUUCAAUUUGCUCUUUUUAACCUUAUGGAGUUCAUUAAGGUUACUCAUAACUUAAGUAGGCCCAACUCGGGUGUGGCCCAUUUAUAGUGUAGUGAAGUCCAACACGCUGAGGGCGACACAUGAAGUGUGUUGGGAGGCCCAGAAUCAUAGAUUGCGGGGGGCAACGAUGAUGUUGGGCGUGGUAAGGAGGGUCGUAACAGUAGUGAGGAAGAGAAAUGGGCAGUAAGGGAAGCGAGACUUAGGCCAAGGGAGACAGAGGCACGGUGGCCAGCGUUAUCUUCCACCGGUGCUGGCGUGGUUGAGGUAGAACCCCUAGCUUCAAGUGAGGGUUCGCAAACAAGUGUCAUUAAUCGGACCUGCAAAGAAGAUGUGUGCGGCAACGGCAGGGCGAGUGCAGGUUUGUCAUGGGGCACAAGUAGAGCGAUACUCAGAUGUGUAGGUUACGAGAUAUGUGGGAGAAGGGGGAAACCAGUGUAAGACCGUUGUGGAGAUCUAAAGGAGGAGCAUGAUCCCUUCACUACGGAAAUAGUUCUUCUUUCAAGUUAAGUAUUAACUCAAAUGAUGCUUCAGAAGGUGAUAUUAUUUUGUGCAAUAGUAGAUUAUGGAAGGAUGGUAGUUCAUAUGAACCAUCUAACAUAUGAGAGGUGGAUAAAUAAUUAGGGAUGUCAUGUUGCAUGAACGAGGAUGAGAUAAUCGAGGAAUUAAGAAGGAUGGAAGAUAGAGAUGAGGAGAUUAGGAAGAAGCUAGAGGAGGGCAACCAACACGAGUCUUUAUGAUUAUUGUCAAUCUUAGUAUAAGAGGGUUGAGGGGGAGGACAAAAGCUAAUUAUAUUAGGCAAAUUAUUGCCAAGGAGGGUGCAAAUUUAUUGUGCCUUCAAGAGGUUAAAGCAUAUGCUCUAUCAGAUUCGAGAUGCUUUUCUUCGUGGGGAGAUACUAAGGUUGGAUGGAUUCAUAAUGAAGGCGAAAGUGGUGCGGGGAGUACAUUAAUCAUGUGGCUUAAAGAUGCAUUUUGCUAUGAGAGGCAUAUGGUGGGAAAGGGUUACAUAACAAUCUUUGGCAACAUAUCACAUCUAAAUGUCAAUGCGAUGUGAUCAAUAUUUAUGCUUCGUGCAACUUGAAUGAAAAGGAGGCUUUGUGGGCGGAAUUGUCGACUAUCAGGAGUGACAUCAAAACCUGACCUGGUGUUUUUAUGGAGACUUUAAUGUUGUCGGAAAUGAAAGUGAAAGGAAAGGGUCUAGUGUAAGGGGUAACCAAAAAAACGAAAUCGGGGGUUUUAACUGUUUUAUUGAGAGAAACUAUAUGGUGGAAAUACCAGUUGUAGGCAAGAGAUACACCUGGUUCAAUGCUAAUGGUUCAGCGAAGAGCAUACUAGAUAGGGUGAUUUUUUCGAAGGAGUAGAUCCAAAAGUGGCCCGAAUGUAAGUAGUAUGUCCAACCGAGAGUGGUGUCGGAUCAUAGUGCCAUAGUGGUGAAGUCUCUGGUCAGAGAUUAAGGCCUAAAACCAUUCAAAUCCAUUGAUGCUUGGUUGUUGGAGCCUGGGUUCAAAGAGAUGGUGGGGGUAAAUGGAGGUCAUAUUGUGUUCAAGGAAAUAGUAUAACCAGGUUCAAAGAUAAGCUGAAAUUUCUGAAGGCGGACCUAAAGGUACAAAAUCGAGAUGUGUUUGGAUGUAUGGAUACAAAUAAGAAGAGGAUUGCGAAGGAAAUCGAUAAUCAUGAUGAUAUCAGCUCUAUCAGUGAAGAUGUUAAGUUGAGAAGAAUGGAACUUAUAAGCCAGUUGAGGUUACUUGAUAAUAAGAUGGAAUCCCUUUGUAGACAAAAAGCGAGAGCAAAGUGGCUCAAGUUUGGCGACACAAAUUCAAGGUAUUAUCACUUAGUGCUUAGGUGGAGACGUCUUAGAAAUGAAGUGAAAGGAUUGAAGGCAAACAAUUUAUGAUGUGAGGAACCAGAAGUAAUCCACAGAGAAGCCAAAAAGAUGUUUGAAGAUAGAUUUCUGGCGACACAUGAUUAUGGGGUUAGACUCAGAGGUGUGGAGUUUAAAAUUUGUCUUUGGAGAUUAGUGCAAGUUUGAUUGUUGACUUCACAUAGGAGGAAAUAAAGGAAGCAGUUUGGCAAUGUGAAGGCUCAAAAAGCCCCAGACCGAACGGGUUCAACUUUAACUUUAUUAGUGAUAAUUGGGCUGCUCUUAAAUAUGAUAUUGUGGAAGUUGUGCACUCGUUUCAGGAAUCGUGAUGCACCCCGAAUGGUUGCAAUGCUUCAUUUAUAGCCUUAGUACCUAAAGUGAAAAAUCCCAUUUUUUUAGACCAGUACAAACCUAUUUCCCUUGUGGGAGCUAUCUAUUAAAUUAUAACUAAGGUGUUGUCGUGCCGGAUCAAGGAGGUACUACCGUUGGUGAUUGAUGUUAGUCAGUCCGUGUUUUUGAAGUGUAGAGGCAUGUUAGAUAGUGUCCUUGUGGCCAAUGAGGUAGUUGAGGAGUUAAGAAGAAGUGAGAGGAGAGGCUUGUGCUUAAAGGUGGACUAUGAAAAGGCAUACGACUCACUCAGGUGGAAUUUUCUUCUUUAUAUGUUACAAAGGCUAGACUUCCAUAGUAAAUAGAUAAACUGGGUCAAAUGGUGUCUUGAGUCUGCAUCAGUGUCUUGAGGCUACGAAGGAAUUUAGACCAACAAGAGGUUUGAGGCUGGGAGACCCUUUAGCCUCAUUUUUUUUUAUUGUUGUAGAAAGUUUAGCUGGGCUAGUAAGACAAGCUCUCAAAGCAGAUCUCAUUAAAGGUGUGAGGGUGGGGAGAAAUGAGGUUGAAGUUUGUGCGCUAUAGUUUGCUGACGAAACCUUGUUCAUGUGUGAGGAUUUUUAUAACAAUAUUUUUUCUAUAAAAGCAAUUCUAAGAGGCUAUGAGAUUACUUCUGGGUAAAAAAUCAACUUUCACAAAUCCAAGCUGGUUGGCAUAAAUGUUGAAACGAGCUCUCUAGUUUUCUAUGCAAGUUCUUUAAAUUGUACUCUUAUGAGGGUACCAUUUAAAUACUUGGGAGUAGUUGUUGGAGGUAAUCCAAGAAAGACAUCAUUAUGAGAGCCUGUCCUGAAUAAGUUAAGUGAUAGGCUGAGUGCUUGGAAAGAGAGAUUCUUGCCGCUGGCGGGAAUGAUAUGCUUAGUAAAAUCGGUUUUAACGGCUUUACCCCUUUUUUACUUAUCCUUAUUUAAAGCUCUGACUUUGGUGUAUAAGAGAAUAAUUAGUAUCCAAAGAAGCUUUUUGUGGGUGUGGGAAAGAGAGAAGAGAUUGGUCACUUGGUUGUUGGGAGAAAGUUUGCAAAUCGAUGGAGGAAGGGAGAUUGAGGAUCAAAGAUAUCAAAAUAUUCACUAGUGCUCUUCUGGCUAAGUGGAAAUGACGGUUAAUGAGUAAUGAAUAAGGGAAGUGGAAAGACAUCUUAGUGUCAAAAUAUAGUACGAAAACAGAUCGAAGACUGUUUCAGGAAAAACUUCAAUCUUGGUGGUGGAGAGACUUGGCCAAGAUAUGAAGCGAGGAUGUAGAAGAAGGGUGGUUCCAAUCAGCUAUGCAAUGGAAAGUUGGUUCUGGUGAUUAGGUCAGAUUUUGGGAGGAUGCCUGGUUUGGGAGUAAUAAGCUAAACAAUCUUUUCCCUAGGUUGUUUUCUCUGUAUCUGGACCAGGGGAGGACAGUGGGAGAGGUUGGAGUAUGGGAAAGGUCGGUAUGGAGGUUGCGGCUAAGAUGGAGAAGGAAGAGGUUUGUGUGGGAAUCCAUACUAGAGGAAGAAUUGUAUAGGUUUAUCUCUACGGGUACUAUUAAGAGGGAGAAAAAGGAGCCUAUGAAUGCCUAGGCAACUAUGACACUGGGAAUGUUAAUGGUAUUUUUAAUCAGCUAUGGAAAGUUAAAGCUUUUCCCAAUGUUUUAACCACUGCUUGGAGGAUUCUUUUGGAUAAAAUGCCAACACGUAGCAGCCUUAGUACGAGAGGAGUGUUAGUGAGGUCUGCUGGUUGUGAGAUGUGUAGGGCUAUAGAGGAGACAACUCAACACCUGUUCUUAGAUUGUAUUAUUGCACAACGGAUUUGGUCUCUUUGCUAUAGAUGGAUAGGUACCCUGGGCGUUCAACAUAAGGAUUUGAAGGUUCAUUUUGAGAGCUUUCAUCUGGUUCAUUUGAAUUCCAAGAAAAACCUGGCGAGGAAGGGUAUAUGGGUGACAAUAGUAAGGGGUAUCUGGGAUUAGAGGAACAUGGUCAAUUUUAAGCAAGGUGUAUUUGAUGCGAAAGAAGUUUUCCAGAUGGCUAAACUUAGAUCGUGGCUAUGGUUGAAACACAGGUGUCAAUGCCUUUAAUUUUUCAUUUUCGGAUUGACACUUGAAUCCUGUUCUAUGCAUCAAAAGCUGCAGGUAAUUGGGAAAGGUAGGAUCUUUGUGAGAAUGAUUUUUCAACUUGGUUAAGCAGGGCGCAUGUUCCUCUGAAGGGUGUGCCAUGAUGUUGUUACUUUGGUUUUAUAUGCGUUAUGCUAAAUGCCUUUAGGUGCUGCUUGUUGGUGAUACAGAUUAAGAUCCUAUGGUUGCGCCCAUUUGAACCCAAUGAACUAGAAGGGAGCCAAUGUGCUAGGGACGUUACAGUUAUCUUGGUGCAGUAUUCUUGAUCUAUCGGAUGCUGCAUAUUUGCUUUGGUUAAGGAUAUGUAAAUCUUAGUUUUUUGGAUCAUGAGUUGGGAACGUGCAGGGACUUGGCUGGAUUAAUCACUCUGAAGUUGUAUCCACACCUCCUACUCUAUUGGGGAGCCAUUGGAAGGGGAACAACUAUGUACCUUUGUCAGUGUUUUGAAUGGUCAUAUUUGUGGGGCUGAUAUAAAGUGCAUGGAGAGAUGUAGCACUUUGCGGUAAUGGUUACGGCUAGUUUUGUUUAGACUAAGAGUUGGAAAAGAUGAAGGAUUUUGUUUAAGGGUUGAGACACUCCUAAAGUGUCCCGUUUUAAUUCAAUUAAUUUUUAGCUGAUAAAAAAAAAGAGAGAAAACAUAAAUUCAAAUUUAAAAAAAGAUAUUUUUAUAUGAUUUUUCUUAGUCUCUUAAGAAUAAAAAUAACAUGAUUUGGAGAUAAUUUUUAUAACUUCAUCUUGUGUUCAGGUAACUUUCAAGUUAACUCUCCUACACUUCUAUUAAUAAGAUAUUCAUAUUUUGACAACUUUCUAAAGAAAACCACUUGUUAACUAUUUUUAUUAGUAUAAUAAUAAAAAAAAGAAUUCAAUUUAAAAUAUGUAUUUAUAUUUAAUAUUAUUAAUAUUAUACUAAUAAUAAGAGUUGUGAAUUGUUUUUUCAAAUUUGAAAGAAUUGUGAAAACAUAAUUACUCUAUACAAAUAAUUUGUUGAAAGAAUAUAUUUGAUGAAAGAUGAUAUUUUGACCUCCAUGUAGAAAAAAGGUCACUUGCAAGUUGCAACCAUACAAAAUUUUUUUAAGUAAAAAUUAAUUUUAAUAAUUAAUUAAUAUAUUAAAUAAAUUAAAUAUUAUUUUAAAAACUAAAUAAUUAUUAAUAUCUAAAAUAAUUUAUAUUAUUAAUAAAUUAUUUCUAAAUUAAUUUCUAAAUUGAUAUGUAAAAUAUAAAGUUAACAACUUUAUAUUCCACAUAUUCCACAUAAAGGAUAAAAAUACACCAAGGAGAAAAAACAAACCUUCCAUGCUAAAGAACAAAUUUAAAAUAAAAGAGAAAAGAAGUCAAACUGGAAUAAAAAAAUUAGAAAGAUUUUCAAAAGAUUCGAACAACGUGUAAUAAGGAAAAGUUUUCUUUACACCACAAAUAGCAGUUAACACCUCUUUAUAAUAAUAUAAUAAUAUUUAAUAAUUAAAAAAAAUAAAAAAAAUUAAAUUAUUAAUUUAUUAAUAUAUAAGGUGUAGAUAAUAAUAUAUUAACAAAUUUUUUAUACCAUCAUAUUAUAAUUUUCAAUAUUAUAAUUUUAAUAUUUAUAUAUAUUAUUUAAUUAAAAAAUUAUCUUUUAUUAUAUAUAUUUAUUUAAAAAUAGCUGUAUAUAAAAAUAGAUGUAUAUAAACUAUCAUUUUCAUAUUUGUUUUCAUGUUUAUAGUAUUAAUAUAUCAUUCCUCGUGUAGUAAACAUAAGAUAAAAAUAUUAUUACAAUCGCAUAUCACGUGUAUCACGUCGGGUUCUCAGUGAAUACGAACUCUUUUAUUGGUUAACUUAACGCAUCUCCAGAAUAUCAAACACAACACUAACUAAGAGACGAAGCGAAGUUGAAGAACAGAAAAUCAAUGGCAGAGGCGCACGUGCUGAUCUUCCCUCUUCCAAUGCCCGCGCAUGUUGUGUCCAUGCUGAAGCUCGCCGAGCUUCUGGUCCUUGAGAAUCUGCACGUCACCUUCCUCACCACCGACACCAUCCACGGUCGCCUCACUCGUUUCGGUGACAUCCAAGUUCUCUCAAAAUCUUACCCUAAGCUCCAUUUCAAGACCAUUUCCGAUUGUUACGACGAGGGUGACCACCCUGGAUUCGGAGACCGUCUCUGGGACCUUAUUUCUUCCACAACUCUCCACGCUAAGCCCUUCUUGAGAGAUAUUCUGCUCUCCCACACUCCUCAAUUUCCCAAAAUUAGUUGCGUUAUUCAGGAUGGUAUCUUCGGGGGUCUUUCCGUUGGCGUCGCUUCUGAGUUCAACGUAUCCAUACCAAUCAUUCAUUUCCGAACCGCUAGUGCUUGUUGCUUCUGGGCUUAUAUGUCUGCUACAAACCUCCUCCAGUGCCAAGAACUUCCCAUUAGAGGUAUAUAUGUACAGACUUCAAAUUCAUUCAUCUCUCUCACCCUAUCUAGCUGUAGUAGUAUCUUACUCAUACCUUCUUUAAAUAUGCUCAUUCCAUUUACUAUAUAUUCCGAUUUCUUAUGACAACUUCGUUAUUAACCGAUAUGGUAGACUAAAUUUGUAUAGAUUCAGGAGAAUUGGUGUUGUGGUUAACAUUAUGAUGUGAGUGGUUGUAGGAGAUGAGGACAUGGAUCGGAUCAUAAAAAACAUGCCAGGCAUGGAAAACUUGCUUCGCUGCCGAGAUCUUCCAAGUUUCUUUCGAUCAGACAAAAAGGGGAACUCCACUUUUGAGUUCUAUGCUGACCGAAGCCGACAAUCUCUUGCAGCAGACGCGUUUAUCCUCAACUCAUUUGAGGAUCUAGAAGGCCCUGUCCUCUCCCAAAUGCGUCAUCAUUUUCCCAAAGUUUACACCGUUGGCCCUCUCCACCACCAUUUGAACACGAGAAAAGCAGAAUCCAACAAAGGAGAAGACAUUCCCAAGUUUAAGAACGCUGUUUUUCAAGUGGACAGGAGCUGCAUGACGUGGCUUGACGCACAACCUGAAGGGUCGGUGAUGUAUGUGAGCUUCGGAAGUAGCACUAUCGUGAAAAGGGAAGAUUUAAUGGAGAUUUGGCACGGUUUGGUGAACAGCAAGAAGAGGUUUCUGUGGGUGAUGCGCCCUGACAUUGUUGCAGGAAAACAGGAUGAUGACCGGAUACCGGCUGAGGUGGAGGAAGGGACUAAAGAGAGGGUUCAUUGUAGAGUGGGCCCCGCAAGAGGAGGUGCUGGAACACAAGGCCAUUGGUGGGUUCUUGACACACAGUGGGUGGAACUCAACCUUGGAGAGUGUGGUGGCUGGUGUGCCCAUGAUUUGCUGGCCAUACUUUGCAGAUCAGCAGAUUAACAGCAGGUUUGUGAGUGAGGUUUGGAAAGUAGGGUUGGACAUGAAAGAUGUGUGUGAUAGAGAUGUUGUGGAGAAGAUGGUAAAUGAUCUCAUGGUUCAUAGGAGGGAGGAGUUUCUCAAUUCAGCUAAAGCAAUGGCUAAGUUGGCUCACAAGAGUGUGAGUCCAGGUGGUUCCUCUUACUCCAGUCUCCUGGAUUUGAUUCAGUACAUUAAAUCAACCAGCAGGGAAAAUAAUUAACAAUGCCACAAUUCAUCAAGUUUUCUUCUUGCAAGCAUGGCUCACAUCCAAAUCCUAAAUAAUGUUUUUUUACUAUUUAUUUUGUUGUACGUUGUUAUGCUCUGAACUAAGUUGUUACUGCAUUAAGGUUUUACUACAGAUGCAUUAGAAAUGGAGUAAGGUUCGGUAUUGGUAAAAAAGAGAAGACAGAAUGGUAUGAGAAAUAAAAUUUUCUUGGGUUUGUGUUUGGAUUAGAGAGUGGAUGUAUGAGGAUUUGAAGGAGUGGAUGUUUGAAAAUGUGAAAAGAAAGUGCGAAGAAAGUGAAGUUGUUUGGACUCGGAUAUGUUAGAGAUGAUGUAUGAGUAAAAUUUGUAAGAGUUUGUGAGUGAUAAGGUGAUUGUGAACAAGUUUUAUUUUUUUUUAAAUUGUUAAAUUUUAUUUUACAAAUUUAUACUUGUCUAUUAAAAUUUUUUAAUAACGAAAUGAGUUAUUUUUUUUUAAAAAUAAACAACUUUCACAUAUUUUGUAUAUUUAAAAAUUAAAAUUAAAAAUUAAAUAUAUAUUAAAUAUAAAUAGAUAUAAUUUAAAAAUUAUAAUUAGAAAACAAAUGUAUUCAACAAAUUAAAUAAAAAUAAAACUUCAAAUAAUUUAUUAAAAUAUUAAACAUGCAUUAUAAAAUCAAAUCUUAUAUAAAUAAAAGAUAAUAUUUGUUAUUAUUAAAAACCCUACAGUAAUGAAAAAUAAAAAAAUACUAAAAAAAAUAUAACUUAAUUAACAAUAGAAAAUAAUUUCAUAAAAACUAUUAUCAAAUAAAUUACAAACUCAUAAACAUAAUAAUUAUAAAAAAAUAUAUUAAUAUAAAUGCAACAACAAAUUAAAUAAAAAAAAACUUCAAAUAAUUUCUUAAAAUAUUAAAUAUAUACUAUAAAAUUAAAAAAUAAAUCACAUUAUAUAAAUAAAAAAAAUACUGUUUUUUAAUAUUAAAAACCCUUGCAGAUGAAUGAAGAUAAAUUCGAAAAUAGCACAUAUUGAUGUGAUUUUCCUCUACAUCUCUUCAUUUUGAGGGAAAAGGAUAUUUAUGUUCACAUGUAUAUCCUCUCCUCCUCUUCCCUGCAAAAUCCUGAAUUCAAACCAUUGAUAUCCUCUCACUUCUUUCCUUGUGAACAGUACAUCCAUGGAAGCAAACAGAGCUUAAAUGUUAUCCUAAGUUGAUACGAAUUCCAAAUAUUUCAUUUCAAAUGUAGUUUAGCUUACCUAUACAUAUAUUAAGGGGAUUUCCUAUUAUAACUACCUUGUAUACAAUUUUUUUCUAAUUCUACCAUUAUUUAAUAUAUCUCAUUUUAUUAGUACAAUGAAAUAUUUUGUCAUUUCAUAUGAAUUACUUAAAUAUUUUUUUAAAAUUUUUUAAAAUUAAUAUUAAUGUACUGUUUUUAUACGCAAACUGAAUCCCUACCUUUAAUUUCUUGUUUGAAGGUAACAACAGAAAAAAAAAAAAACAUAACUAUAACACGUUUCCACCACAUUUCACAUCAAAUAUUAGAGAAUCUCUGAAGAAUCCAAUUAUUCCUCUUACUCCAGUUUCCAGGAUUUUAUUCACUACAUUAAAUCAACCAACACCGAAAAUAAUUAACACUGCCACAAUUCAUAAAGUUUCCUUCUUGAAAACAAAAUCCAAUUUGAGAUCCUUUGGAAGCAAUGAGUAGCGGUUUGUCAGCAAUGUGGCCUCUGAUGGUGGUAUUAGAUUCAACUUCCGUAUACCAUUCUCCAACUAAAUUCAGCUUUUGUUUUGGGGUCCUGUUACAAUUUGAUUUGGUUGGUUCUUUAUUUCAUUUUGCGUUUAUAACUCUUUGUUAUUACCUUUGCAGAGACGGGGUUUAUGUUGUUGUUUUUUAUGUUAAUGGCAACAUAUUGAAAACUCCUUUUAAAACAACACUGAUUGACAACCCUCAUUAUUAAUAUAUAUAUUAAUAAUAUAAUAAAUAUAAAAAGGUAAAGAUUUUAUUAUUAAUAUAUUAAUAAAGAUUAUUAAAUGGUGAUUGUAUUUUAAAAGAAUUUUUUAAAAUAUAUUUUCCUUUUCACAUGCCAUAUGACAGAUACGUCUGCAUAGAUACCUCGUGCAAAACAAAAAAAAUGUUGGGAGAAAAAAAAAGGAAAAAAUCUUGUUAACACUUAAAAAAUAACAUACAUUAACAAACCACUUUAAUAAUAUAAUAAUAUAUAUUAAAAUUUUAAAUUAAAAAAUAACAUAAAUAUUAUUAAAGUAUUAUUAUUUAGGAUGUUAUGUGUAUGUUUUUUAUUUGAUGGAUUUCAUUGUAUCAUCACUUAUUAGGUAAUAUUAGAGACUUAUAUAUAGAUGCACUAUAAUUACCUAGUUACCUAUAUAUGCACUAUUAACUUAAUAUAUGAACUUCAUAUUUUUGUAUGUGUGAAUAAUAAUAAUAUAUUUUUUUUAGAGUAACUUCGUAUUAAAGUUAUUUUUCUCUCAUAUUCUUUUCCUUCUUCUUCUUCCUUUUUCUCUGAUUUUUCUCAACCCAACUUCUCAAUGCCUACACCACUUUUGCAUAAUUUGUUAACGCCAAUCUCACUCAAGCUAAUCGAUGAGAAUUUUUUAUUUAUUUGGAAACAACAGAUAUUUGUCACUCUUCAUGGGCUCGACCUCAUGCACCUAUUGGACGGUAAGAGUGUGCCGUCACAAUUUCCCCAAACUAAAUCAAGAACCUACCACCAACCCUGCAUAUCUACACUAUCAUAAACAAGACCAAUUAUUAGUAGAAUGGUUGCUUGCAUGUCAUCCUCCAUUUUGACCAAAAUGGUAAGUCUUGAAUCCUUUGUUUCUAUUUGGAAUCGGUUAUCCACGUACUAUGAAUCCCACACCAGGGCAACAAUAAAAAAGCUUCGUCUUCUCCUUCGCACACCAAAGAAUGAAAUAUUCGUUGCCAACUAUGUUCUUGACCUUAAGAAGACUGUUGAUUCACUAUCUGCCAUAGGUGCUUCCAUUUCCACUGCUCAACACAUAGAUGCAAUCUUGGACGGUUUAUCGGAAGAAUACGAUGGUUUCAUCACCGUCAUUCUCUCACGUUUUGAUCCAUAUACUACUGACGAGCUUUAGUCUUUACUCCUUACUCAAGAAGAAAGGUUUGAAAAACAUAAAGUGUUGCAAAGCUCCAUUAUUCAAGCAAAUCAUGUUACUACAUUGUGGUUCUCCACUCGUCCAAACAAGAAACCCAAUUUUCACAGCAAAGGGUACCGCGAUGGUCACACACAAACUUGUUCUCCCCAUCCAAGCACUGCAACUUCGUUUUCUAGAUUAAGAACCACAACACGUCCUUCUUUCUGCUCAAUAAGACUUGGUUCCUCAUAUCUCUUCCCUGAGGAUCAAAAGUUGUCGGUUGAAAAUGGAUUUUCGAAAACAAAAACAAUGUUGAUGGCUCUUUUCAAAGGCACAAGACACGUCUUGUCGCAAAAGGCUUCAAUCAAGCUGCAGGUUGCGACUACAACGAAACCUUCAGUUCUGUCAUUAAGCCAUCAACCAUUCGAGUUGUUCUCUCGCAUGUUGUUUAUGCUGCAUGACCAAUACAUCAAAUUGAUGUUAACAAUGCAUUUCUGAACGGUGAGCUUCAAGAAGAUGUAUAUAUGCAGCAUCCUCUAGGAUUCGAGUCUUCAUCUCCCCACCUUGUUUGCAAACUUCAGAAAGCCAUAUGUGGCUUGAAGCAAGCACCACGAUCGUGGUUUGAAAAGCUAGGUUCCACUUUAGAACUUUUUGGUUUCCACUAUACUAAGAGCGAUAAUUCACUAUUUGUUAAGUUUCACAAUUCUUAUACUAUUUUCAUUUUAAUCUAUGUAGAUGACAUAGUAAUUACAAGAUCUUCUGCUUCCCACAUUCAAGCUUUGAUACAAAAAUUGGGCUUAUUUUUUGCUCUAAAAGACUUGGGACAUCUUCAUUACUUUCUUGGCAUUGAAGUCCAACACCUCAAAGAUGGAAAUAUUCUUCUAUCUCAAACAAAAUACAUCAAUGAUCUUCUCCGGCGCACUCACAUGAAUGAAGUUAACCAUGUUCUCAUUCCCCUACAAUAUGCCCUUCGUCUACCAAAAAAUGCUUCCCCUGAAGUUCAAGACUCCACCUUAUAUCGCUCUAUAGUCAGUGCUCUACAAUACACUCUCAUUACACGUCUGAUAAGUGCCAAUUUGUAAUUUUUAUGAUUGAGAAAAUUGAACACUUUGGAACUUAAUUGUUGCUUUAUGUUAGAAAAUUACCCUAAUAUGAGAAUUAUUGAAUCCGAUUAUAUAUUUUGAACCAAGAAACAAAUGAAGAAAUUUAAUCUCAAUUUUUGUGUAAAUUGUAGAUGAAUACAAAGCAUUGAAAGAAAGAAAGCAAAAACUUAAUUGCAUCAUAAUUCUGUUCAUAAAGCUGGAUGAUUUGUUAGAUAUAUGAGGAAUCAGUAUUUGAGAAAUUAUCAUAUGAAUUUCAUCUGUGAGGAAUCAAGGUGAAUGAAUUUAAAUUAAGCAUCAAGAAUAAGUAGUUUUGAGUAUUAUGUAUUAUAUUAUUCCAAAAUACAGAUGAUUGAAAUAGACUUAAUUCAAUCUCAAAUAUCUUUCUCUAUAUUUGAUAAGUUAGUUUUGUUUUUGGUUGAAUCAAACCCUAAAUCUCUGAGUUACUUGUGAAAUCUUUAAUUUGGUUAUGAACAUGUUCUCAAAAUUAUUUUCUAUACUUAAUGAGUUUUAUAACAAAAUAUCUUAAUUAGAAUUGUUCUGAUGUGAUUCCAAUAGCCUCAUAGAGAAAGGUUCUUGACCUUCUUAGGAAUCACCUUGAGUUGGACAUUAUAGAGGCACUUUUCUUAGAGUUGGAUCAUUGUUCUAAGACAAGAACUCACCAAAAACUAGUACCAAAUCCCAAACUCAUUUGGAUGUUCCAAUUAUAGUCAAAUUGAAUCGAUUAAAGUGGAAGAAAAUGCAAUUGCACCGAACAUAUUACUUAAGGAAUGAAUUGAACCGAACAAAUGAGCUAGAAAAACAAAGGAACAAGAUGAAUGGACAGAAUUAUAAAACUUCCGAACCAAAAAACUCAUAAAAACAGCAAGAACACCAAACCAAAACUCAAGAACACAAGCUAACAAAAAUAAUUGAAAGAGGAGAAAGGAAGGAGAGAAGAAUUGCUCAUGAAGAUGGAAGGAUGAUGGAUGAUCUCGCCACUAGAAGUGUGGAAUGCUCCUAGAUGAGAGUGCUGCCGCCACUUGAGGACUCCAUGGAUCCAUCAAGAUAAGACUAGAGAAGAAGGCUCAAAAGCUCUCCAAUGAUCACUCAAAAUUUGAGUAGAGUUUUCUUAGAUUAAUUCCAAUCUGAAUUUUACAAAGAGAGCACCUCUAUUUAUAGCCUAAGGUGCUGAAAAUGCAAGCUAAAACAAUUCAAAUUUCCCUCCUAAAGCUAGCUAAAACCGGCGCCUAUUUCAAGCCAUGAGGAAGGUGUGACUCCUUCCUUCACUUUGGCACCUCCUAUUCUACUUCUACACCUAUCUACUAACACCCCCCCCCUAAAGCUCCUAACUAAAGCCUAAAAGAUGCUAUAACAAUAGAGGUUUCUAAAGUUUCCCUCUAAGCACCUUCAACUAAAGAAAUUACAAAAAGAGAAAAUAAAUGUCCUCUAGCUCCUAAAGCUUUAAACAUGCUUCUUGUAAGCCUUUGAGGUGGACUUUGACCUCCAUGGGCGUCUUCUAUUUGUGCCUCCACCUCCUCUUGAUCUUGUUGAUUGGCCUCUAUGUUCUCUUGAUCUUGAUCUCCAUCAUGUUCCCUGUGGGUUCGACAUUUGUACUUUAAAGAGUACUAUAUUACAGUUGAUUCGGUACACUUGUCGAGAAAAAUCAACAAGUUUUUGGCAUCGUUGCCGAGGAACAAUUUCUUUUAAGAAUUUCUGAAGUAUAAAUUUUUGAGUAUUGUGAAUAUUUUGUUUUCUUUGUGAAUAGACACUUGUUUAUAUCUUAUUCUUUUAUCUUGUGCUAAUCCUUGCUUGAGUUGUCUUAGAUACAUGCUAUUAAGAGGACAUGUUCCUAAAGAUCAAUUGAGUUUGAUCCAUAAAUUGAGAAGACAGCUAGAAGAAAUCAGAGCAAGAAGAGAGAAGAAAAGAAGAAGCAAGGACAAGCAAAAGGAGAAUCUUCCAACAGUCUCAACUCACACAAUCAAACAGAGUUACAAAUGGCUGAUAAUAGACAAAAUCCACCUAGAAGGACAUUUGGAGACUAUGCUAUGCAACAAGGAACAAGGCAUUUCUCCNNNNNNNNNNNNNNNNNNNNNNNNNNNNNNNNNNNNNNNNNNNNNNNNNNNNNNNNNNNNNNNNNNNNNNNNNNNNNNNNNNNNNNNNNNNNNNNNNNNNNNNNNNNNNNNNNNNNNNNNNNNNNNNNNNNNNNNNNNNNNNNNNNNNNNNNNNNNNNNNNNNNNNNNNAAGGUGUCCUAAUCAUGGCUUUGAGGAUAUUGCUCAGUUGAACAUAUUCCACAAUGGUUUGAGGCCUGAUACUAAAAUGAUCUUGGAUGCUGCAACCGGAGGUACAAUGAUGACUGUUGAUGCAGAACAAGCUACAAGAAUCAUUGAUGCCUUAGCCUCAACAGAUUACCAAGCUCAACACGAUAGAUAUACAAUGCAAAAGAAAGGGGUGCUGGAUCUUAGUACUUCAGAUGCAAUUUUAGCUCAAAAUAAGAUUUUGACUCAGCAAAUUGAGGCAUUAACCAAGAAAAUGUCAAAACUGCCUCAACAAUUACAUGCAGUAAAUUCUCCUUCAAUUCAAAAUCAAGCUUUGAAGUGUGAUUUUUGUGAGGGAGAUCAUCUUAAUGGCCAAUGCUCUUACCUAAAUCCAUCAAAGGAAGAAGUUCAGUAUAUGAAUAAUUAAGGAAGGCAAGGUGGCUUCGCAUCUAAUUAUCCAAAUAACAUGGCUCAAGGAUGGAGGAACAAUCCAAAUCAAGGAUUUGGGUGGAAGCAAGAGGCUGGAUCAUCUAACAGACAAGUUCCUUAUCAGAAGCAACCACAUUAUCCUUCUAUUCAUGAGAGAACAUCCAAAUUGGAGGAUACUUUUGAGAAGUUCAUGCAAGCCUCUCCAUCCAAUCAGAAAAAUACUGAAGCAUCAAUAAGAAAUUCAGAGACACAGGUGAGGCAGUUGGCUAAACAGUUAACUGAUAAUCAAGAAAGUCAAUUUUCAGUGAAUACACAAACGAAUCCCAAGGAGCAUUGCAAGUCUUUCACUACCACAAGUGGGAAAGUUAUAGGAAAAGGAAUUUGAGAUAAUUUAGUUGUUGAGGAGGAGAUUUUUAAAGAGAGAGAGAAUGAAAAAGAACAUAUUGAGUGUGAGGGAGGAAAAGGAAGGAAUAAGGAAGAUAUUGGAGAGAAAAAUGAAAAACAAGAGAUGAGUGUUCCUAUAAAAGAUGUACCUUAUCCACAUGCUCCUUCAAAGAAAGACUAUUUGCAAGAUUUAUGGAUAUUCUCAAAAGACUGCAAAUUAACAUUCCUUUUACUGAAGCUUUAGAGAAGAUGCCUACAUAUGUUAAAUUCACGAAGGAAUUAUUGACAAAGAAAAGAAAAUUCAAUGACUAGGAGAUAGUUGAAUUGGAAGCUGGAUGCAGUGUUAUAAUUCAAAAAUCAUUACCACAGAAAUUUAGAGAUCCUGGGAGUUUCACUUUGCCAGUUACCAUUGAAAAUCUCACUGUUGGAAAGACAUUAUUGGAUCUUGGAGCUAGUAUUAAUUUGAUGCCUUUAUCAAUGCUGAAGAAAAUUGGAGAUGUAGAAGUGAGACCGACAAGAAUGACUUUGCAGUUGGCUGAUAGAUUAAUCAAAUAUCCACAUGGAAUAGUUGAAGAUUUGUUGGUAAAGGUGGAUAAAUUUCUCUUCCUAGUAGAUUUUUUUUGUUAUGGAUAUAGAAGAAGAUGUUGAAGUACCUUUGAUAUUGGGAAGACCAUUUAUAAAAACUGCCAAAUUUAUAAUUGAUGUAGGCAAAGGAAAAUUAAAGGUUUGUGUUCAAGAUGAAGAAGUAAGCUUUAAUGUUUUUGAAAUAAUGAAGUAUUCAAAUGAUCAAAAAGAGUGUUUCAGAGUGAAUGUGAUUGAUGAUAUUUGUUUUGAAACUCAGAAAAAAUGUUUAACAGUUGAACCUUUAAUGAAAGUUAUCAUGGUUAGUAUUGAAGACAUAGAUGAAGGGGAAAGAAAAGAAAUACAGGACUGUGUUGAAGAGUUAGAUAAGGCUAAAGAGAUUCUUUAUGAUGCUAGUCAAAAGCAAGAUCUAAUCAAAGAAGAAAUUUCUCAACCUCAGAAGAUAGAAUUGAAACAACUACCAGCUUAUUUGAAAUAUGUUUUUUUGGCAGAAAAUGGGGAGAAACCAGUCAUUAUCAGCAACUCUCUAAUAGCAGAAGAAGAAGAGGAAGUAGUGAAAAUGUUAAAGUCAAAUAAAGGAGCAAUAGGAUGGACUCUAUCAGAUUUGAAAUGCAUAAGUCUUUCUUAUUGUAUGCACAAAAUUCCCAUGGAACAAGACUUCAAAUCUGUAGCUCAGCCUCAAAGACGCUUAAAUCCUACUAUGAAGGAAAUGGUAAAGAAAAAAGUUCAGAAGCUGUUAGAAGCAGGGAUGAUUUAUCCUAUAUCAGAUAGUUCCUAGGUCAGUCCUGUGCAAGUAGUUCCAAAGAAAGGUGGCAUGACAGUAAUUCAUAAUGAAAAAAAUGAGUUAAUUCCAACAAGAACAAUCACCGGUUGGAGGAUGUGUAUUGAUUAUAGAAAACUCAAUCAAGCCACAAGAAAACAUCAUUUUCUUACCCUUCAUGGAUCAAAUGCUGGAGAGAUUGGCAGGCAAAGCUUAUUACUGCUUUCUGGAUGGUUAUUCAGGUUAUAAUCAGAUUGUUGUAAAUCCAGAAGAUCAAGAGAAGACUACUUUCACUUGUCCUUUUGGUAUUUUUGCAUAUAGAAAGAUGCCAUUUGGACUGUGUAAUGCUCCUAACAACUUUUCAAAGAUGCAUGUUUGCUAUUUUUGCACAUCUGUUAGAAAAGGGCAUUGAAGUUUUUAUGGAUGAUUUUUCUGUUUAUGGAUCUACUUUUAGUUCUUGUUUGGAGAAUUUAGAUACCGUACUAAAACGGUGUGUGGAGACCAAUCUUGUCCUCAAUUGGGAAAAAUGUCACUUUAUGGUGAGAGAAGGUAUAGUUUUAGGACACAAAAUCUCUAGCAAAGGGAUUGAGGUAGAUAGAGCCAAAGUUAAAGUUAUUGAAAAACUACCUCCACUUGUCAACAUCAAAGGAAUCAGAAGCUUUCUGGGUCAUGUUGGUUUUUACAGGAGAUUCAUCAAGGAUUUUUCAAAGAUUGCAAAACCUCUUUGUAAUUUACUGAAUAAGGAUACUCCAUUUAAUUUUGUUCAAAAUUGCUUAAUUGCUUUUAAGAAUUUAAAUGAAAAACUCAUUUCUGUACUCAUAAUCACUGCACCUAAUUGGCUUUAUCAUUUUGAACUGAUGUGUGAUGCUAGUGAUUAUGCAGUAGGAGCAGUAUUGGGGCAAAGAAAAGAGAAAUUUUUUCAUGUGAUACACUAUGCAAAUAAAGUCUUAAAUGAUGCUCAAAGUAAUUAUACAACUACUGAAAAAUAAUUGUUUGCUAUAGUGUAUGCACUUGAAAAAUUUAGAUCUUACCUUAUUGGUUCUAAAGUGAUUGUUUUUACUGACCAAGCUGCAAUUUGGUACUUGUUCACAAAAUCAGAUUCCAAGCCAAGACUAAUAAGAUGGAUUCUUCUGCUGUAGGAAUUUGAUUUAGAAAUAAAGGAUAAAAAGGGAAGUGAAAACAAUGUGGCAGAUCACUUAUCAAGACUUGCAAAUGAGGAAGUAAUUGCACUUGAAUCAGAAGUGAUAGAUGAGUUUCCUGAUGAAAAGCUCCUUGCAAUUCAAGAAAGGCCAUGGUUUGCAGAUUUGAAAAAUUUUAAAGCUGCAAGAGUAGUUCCUGAAGAUCUUGGAUGGCAUCAAAAGAAAAAGUUCUUCAGAGAUGCUAAUCACAAUGUAUGGGAUGAUCCUUAUCUUUUCAAAAUUGGUGCAGAUAACUUGAUAAGGCGAUGUGUUACAAGAAAUGAAGCUAAAAAUAUUCUAUGGCAUUGUCACAAUUCACCAUAUGGAGGUCAUUUCAAUGGUCAAAGGACAACAACUAAAGUGUUACAAUCUAGAUUUUAUUGGCCAAAUCUAUUCAAAGAUGCACAUGAACAUGUUCAGAAGUGUGAUAGUUGUCAAAGAAAUAGAUCUAUUACAAGAAGGCAUGAAAUGCCGUUGCAGAACAUUCAAGAGACUGAAGUAUUUGAUUGCUGGGAAUUGAUUUUAUAGGACCAUUGCCAUCAUCAUUCUCAAAUGAAUAUAUCUUACUGGCAAUUGAGUAUGUCUCUAGAUGGGUGGAAGCAGCUGCAACUCAGAAAGAUAAUGCCAAAACUGUAAUCAAAUUUCUCAAGAGAAAUAUUUUCACCAGGUUCGGUACUCCUAGAGUUUUGAUAAGUGAUGGAGGUUCUCAUUUUUGUAAUGCUCAACUUCAAAAGGUUUUAGAACACUAUGGAGUUAGACAUGAAGUAGCAAUUGUUAGAAAGUAUGACUUUAAACUACAGGGGGUGAAUGGUUUAAAGAGGGUUUUCACAUACUUUUAAGUCUAGAAUGAAAUUACUUCGAGAAAACUUGAUUAAGAAUUUAGUUUGCCAAAAACACAAAGCAAUUUAGCACAACACCAGAAAAACAAUCGGUUGUUUCGCAGAAACAAUCGGUUGUUUCGCAGAAACAAUCGGUUGUUUCGCAGAAACAAUCGGUUGUUUAUACCAGUUCACAAAUAUAAAUUGAAAUUAAAGAGUUCAAGGGAUAAAGAAAUUGCACACACAGGUUUAUACUGGUUCACUCUUAACCAAGAGCUACAUCCAGUCUUUCCAGAAACCACUGGGGAAUCCACUAAGCAAUCAAGCCUAGAUUACUUACAACACCACCAAAGAAGUGACCUUGAUCCCCUCAAGACACACUUCCUUUGGCUCAGCGCAAACACCACUAAGAAUGUUGAUCUUGACAACCUCAAGAACACACAACACUUCUCAGGUUUACACACAGAGUUUCUUCAAAGUACAAAAGGAUUACACUUGUUACAUAAAGAUCUGAAAUUAAUACAAGAUGAAAAUCCUAUUCCACACUCUCUUGAUCCAAGCAAUCUCAAAGCAAUCUUCAACUUCUUCAAAAGCAAAAUCAGUGAAAAACUCAAAUUUGUUUUUCUUUGAUUAAAUCUUAGUUCUUGUUUGUUACAUAAACAUAACACACUAUUUAUUGCUUUCAAAGACUGGUCAAAGCAUUUAAAACUGGAGCGUAAUCAGUUAUAAAAUCAUUUAAAGCUCAGUCAAAGCACAAAACAGUUUUCUGUUAUGGUCCCAAAAAAAAAAUCGGUUGAAUGCUCGAAUCAAUCGGUUGUUUUGGUUUGACAGCAAGUCAACCAUCAAAAACAGUUUUCAACCUUUCUAAAAACACCUAAGUAUAAAACAAUCGGUUGUUUCGACAAAACAACAGGUUGUUUUUCACUUAGUUUGAAAAACACUUUCAAUUAAAAGGUUUAAGAAUGCUUAAGCUUUGGAUUCAAUCAAGAGUGAAUUUACACAGAAAAUCUACCCUAUAUCCUAUUCUAAAACACCUCUGCAACAACAAGCAUAACAAGCCUUCCAUCAAACUUCAAAGGGUUUGGAUUCUUCAAAGCUUAAACACACUUGAUUCAACAAUCUCCCCCUAUUUGAUGAAGACAAAUCCCUGGUUGCUUGUGUUGGAUUUGAUUGAAUCUAAAGCAGUUCCUGCAAAAACAACAUAUAUACAAUCUAAUGCUUCCUACAACAGCAGGUUAGAUUUUCACAUGUUGAAAACAAUAUUCCAUACAAACAAUCGAUUGUUUCUAUCAGCAGAAGCAGAAACAGUUAUGAUAUCAGGGAUUUCAGCAGUUUUUAAUCAAUUUCAGAGAAGGAUACACAAGAACCAAUCAAUUCUCCCCCUAUUUGUCUUCAUAAAUAGACUCUAACAGGUAUUAAAACAAAUUUAGGAAAGAUUUUGAAGGUCAAGGAUACCUAACUCAUUUCGCAAAAAGAAGAACCUCUCUUUUGGUAAUGGUUUUGUGAAGAUAUCAGCUAGCUGCAGUUUUGUCUCAAUAAACUUCACUUCACAGUCCCCAUUGCUCACAUGAUCCCUGAUGAAAUGAUGGCGUAUCUCAAUAUGGUUAGUUCUUGAGUGUUGGAUCUAAUUUUUGGUAAGAUUGAUAGCACUUGUAUUGUCACACAUCAAAGGGACCUUGCUGAUUUGCAAUCCAAAGUCUGCAAGUUGUUGUUUGAGCCAUAGGAUUUGUGCACAACAGCUUCCAGCAGCUAUGUACUCAGCCUCAGCAGUAGAGAGAGCCACACAUGCUUGCUUCUUGCUAUGCCAUGAGAUGAGGCUUGAACCAAGAAGGUGGCAAGUGCCACUUGUGCUUUUCCUAUCUAGCUUGCAUCCUGCAAAAUCAGAAUCUAAAUAGCCAAUUAAAUGAAUGGGAGAGUGAGAAGGAUACCAUAACCCAACAGUUGAUGUUCCUUUGAGAUAUUUCAGAAUUCUCUUUGCAGCUUUGAAGUGUGACUCCUUCAGAUUUGCUUGAUAUCUUGCACAAAGACAUACCACAAACAUAAUGUCCGGUCUACUUGCUUUUAGAUAGAGUAAAACGCCAAUCAAACCUCUGUAUUUAGUUUAAUCUACCCCUUUUUAGCAGCAUCUGCAUCCAUGUAGCAGCUUGAUGGCAUAGGUGUGCUUGCUUCCUUGCAACUCUCCAUUUCAAAUUUCUUGAGAAUCUCUUUACAAUACUUUGAUUGGCAUAGAAAGAUUCCAUCCUUUGUUUUCUUAACCUUCAAUCCAAGAAAGAAAGACAAUUCUCCCAUCAUAGACAUUUCAAACUCACCUUUCAUAGCAGCCACAAAUUCUUCACACAAACUAUCUUGUGUAGCACCAAAGAUGAUGUCAUCAACAUAGAUUUGCACAAGGAUAAUUUCAGAAUUUGACUUUUUGAUGAAGAGAGUUUUGUCAAUCAUUCCCCUUUCAUAGCCAUGAGAUAGCAAGAAGUUGCUAAGCCUUUCAUACCACUUCCUUGGAGCUUGCUUCAGCCCAUACAAAGCCUUUUUCAGCUUGAAGACAUGAUUGGGAUAUUGAUGAUCUUCAAAGCCCGGUGGUUGAUCCACAUACACUUCCUCAUUGAUGUAGCCAUUUAAAAAGGCACUCUUGACAUCCAUUUAAAAGAGUUUAAAACCACUCAUACAUGCAAAAGCCAACAACAACCUCACAGCUUCCAAUCUUGCAACAGGAGCAAAGGUUUCACCAUAAUCAAUUCUCUCCUCUUGAUUGUAGCCUUUGGCAACUAGCCUUGCUUUGUUCCUUGUGAUCACACCAUCCCCAUCCAGUUUGUUUCUAAACACCCACUUCGAACCAAUGAUGUUCAUCUCAGCUGUUUUAGGGACAAGAAACCAUACCUCAUUCUUUGCAAACUGAUUCAACUUUUCAUGCAUAGCUUCAACCCAUUUUUCAUCCUUGAGAGCUUCAUCAAUUGACUUUGGUUCAAUUUGAGAGACAAAAGUAGUGUGCCUGCAGAAGUUUGAGAUGGAGCUAUGUGUUGAGACACCUUCCUUUAUCUGCCCAAUGAUGUUCUCCACUGACAGAUCUCUAGGAAUCCUCCAUUCUUUGGGCAACUCACUCUGCUGCAGAAUUUCAAUCGGUUGUUUUGAGGAAUCAACCGGUUGUUUUUCUGCACAGAUGUCCAGCUUCUCCAAACUGAUGUUCUGCUCAUCCUCUUCAACACUGUUCUUCGAGAUUUGAAUGCUUUUGUGAUCCAGCUCAUCAAAGACAACAUGAACAGACUCUUCUAUAGUUAUUAGCCUCUUGUUGUAGAUUAUGUAUGCAUGAUUAGUUAGAGAAUAGCCUAUGAAGAUACCAUGAUCAGCUUUUUCAUCAAACUUCCCUAGGUUUUUCUUUCGAUUGUUGAGAACAAAACAACUGCAACCAAAAACUCUAAGGUGAUUGAUGUUUGGCUUCCUUCCAUUGAAGAGUUCAUAAGGAGUCUUCUUCAAAAUUGGCCUAAUUAGCACUCUAUUCACCACAUAGCAAGAGGUGCUAACUGCAUCAGCCCAAAAAUACUUAAGAAGAGAAGAUUCAAUUAGCAUUGUUCUAGCUAGUUCUUCAUGGGACAUGUUCUUCCUUUCCACCACACCAUUCUGUUGUGGAGUUCUUGGAGCUGAAAAAUUAUGCAGAAUUUCCAUCUUUUCAUACAACUUGCUGAACUUUUCAUUUUAGAAUUCACCUCCAUGAUCUCUUCUUAUUGAGCCUAUGUUGCUGUUCUUUGUAUUUUGCAAUCUUCUACCAAGCUUCUUGAAUGCAGAGAAGGCAUCACUUUUUGAUUCCAAGAAGAGAGUCCAAGUGAACCUAGAAAAAGCAUCCACAAUAACAAGAGCAUAGUAGUUUCCACCAAGGCUCAUGGUUCUUGAAGGUCCAAAAAGAUCCAUGUGAAGUAGCUCAAGAGGUUUUAAAGAAGAAACAACAUUUUUUAUUUUAAAAGAUUUUUUCACUUAUUUCCCCUUUUGGCAAGCUUCACAAAUAUGGUCCUUCUCAAACUUGAGCUUUGGCAGCCCAAUUACAAGAUCUUUAGAAAUCAACUUGUUCAAGUGAUUCAUGUGAAUGUGAGCAAUUCUUCUAUGCCAAAGCCAAGACUCCUCAUGCUUGGAUAGAAGAUAACCAAUUGAACAAGGUGAAGAGAUAUCUAGAAGAUAAACAUUGUUGAUUCUCUUACCAAUCAACAUUACCUCUGUUGUGUUGGGAAGACAAAUUUCACAGGAGUUUGUUUUGAAGAUAACCUGAUAUCCUUUGUCACACAAUUGACUAAUGCUCAGCAGAUUGUGCUUUAAUCCUUCUACAUAGAGAACAUCAUGAAUGACCAAGAUAUCUUUGUCUCUUAUGGAUCCUCUCCCAAGAAUCCUCCCCUUGUUAUUGUUCCCAUAGGUAACGUGCCCUUCUUGCUUAAAGGAGAUGUUUAGAAACUUUGAUUUGUCCCCAGUCAUGUGCUUGGAGCACCCACUGUCCAGGUACCAUUGUUGCAUACUCUCCUCCAAGGUUUCCUACAAAGAAGAUUUUCAAGUACAAAGAUUUGGUCCCCUUAUGAAUGUGGGUCCAUUUGGUUUAAAUUUAUCAUUUGAAUCUUUACUACACUUGGGAAUCCACUUCAUAAAGCCCCUAGGAACAACAUAUUUUCUGAUUUUACAGAAUCUGACAGAAUGGCCUCUUUUCAUGCAGUAGAAGCAUGUAACAACCGGUUGUUUCAACAGAUCAAUCGGUUGUUUUUCUGGCAGUUUCGAAAAUGACUUUGAAAAUCUAUCUUGCUUGUUCUGUGGGUUAAAACCCAAUCCAGCUUUUCCAAAAACACAAUUUUGAGAUGCCAAGACAUUCUCAAAGUUGGAUUGACCUUUAGAAAGCUUAUCCACAGUUUUAACAAGAUAAUGAACUUUCUUUUCAAGAUUUUCGCAAUUUUCACAAAUAAGACUAUCACACUUGCAAGAGUAGCUUUGAGUGUGUCCCACAUCUCUUUAGCAGAUUUGCAUUUUGAUAUCCUGAAAAACUCAUUAGUAUCUAGUGCAGAAGCUAUUAUGUUUUGAGCAGUACAAUCAAGCUUGGCCAUCUUACAUUCUUCAUUGGUCCAUUGGGACCAAGGUUUUGCAAUAAAAGAUCCAUUCUUUUUAAGCUUUGGAAUGAAAGGUCCAUUUUCGAUUGAAUCCCAAAUUCCUUGAUCAAUGGAUUGAACAAAGAUUUUCAUUCUAGCCUCCCAAUACUUAUAAUUCAAACCACAUAAUAAAGGUGGUUUGUAGAUUGAGGCACCUUCCUCAAAAGAUAGUUUUCCAGCCAUAGAAAAAUAUUUUUCGGAUCAAACUUGAUUAUCUUUCAAGUACAAAGCUCUUGAUGCCAAUUGUUAGAAAGUAUGGCUUUAAACUAGGGGGGGAUGGUUUAAAGAGGAUUUUCACAUACUUUUAAGUCUAGAAUGAAAUUACUUCGUGAAAACUUGAUUAAGAAUUCAGUUUGCCAAAAACACAAAGCAAUUUAGCACAACACCAAAAAAACAAUCGGUUGUUUAUACCAGUUCACAAAUAUAAACUGAAAUUAAAGAGUUCAAGGGAUAGAGAAAUUACACACACAGGUUUAUACUGGUUCACUCUUAACCAAGAGCUACAUCCAGUCUUCCCAGAAACCACUGGGGAAUCCGCUAAGCAAUCAACCCUAGAUUACUUACACCACCACUAAAGAAGUGACCUUGAUCCCCUCAAGACACACACUUCCUUUGGCUCAGCAAAAACACCACUAAGAAUGCUGAUCUUGACAACCUCAAGAACAUACAACACUUCUCAGCUUUACACACAGAGUUUCUUCAAAGUACAAAAGGAUUACACUUGUUACAGAAAGAUCUGAAAUCAGUACACGAUGAAAAUCCUAUUCCACACUCUCUUGAUCCAAGCAAUCUUCAACUUCUUCAAAAGCAAAAUCAGUGAAAAAAUCAAAUUUGUUUUUCUUUGAUUAAAUCUUAGUUCUUGUUUGUUACAUAUACAUAACAAACUAUUUAUUGCUUUCAAAGACUGGUCAAAGCAUUUAAAAUUGGAGCGUAAUCAGUUAUAAAAUCAUUUAAUGCUCAGUCAAAGCACAAAACAGUUUUCUGUUAUGGUCCCAAAAAAAAAAUCGGUUGAAUGCCGAAUCAAUCGGUUGUUUUGGUUUGACAGCAAGUCAACCAUCAAAAAUAGUUUUCAACCUUUCUAAAAACACCUAAGUAUAAAACAGUCGGUUGUUUCAACAAAUCAACAGGUUGUUUUUCACUUAGUUUGAAAAAAACUUUCAAUUAAAAGGUUUAAGAAUGCUUAAGCUUUGGAUUCAAUCAAAAGUGGAUUUACACAAAAAAUCUACCCUAAAUCCUAUUUUAAAAUACCUCUGCAACAGCAAGCACAACCAACCUUUCAUCAAACUUCAAAGGGUUUGGAUUCUUCUAAGCUUGAACACACUUGAUUCAAUAGCAAUAACCUACCAUCCUCAAACUAAUGGUCAGGCAGAGGUUUCUAACAGGGAAAUUAUGAAGAUUUUGGAAAAAAUAGUAUCUUCUUCCAGAAAGGAUUGGUCUAACAAGCUUGAUAAAGCUCUCUGGGCUUAUAGAACAACAUUUAAGACAUUUACAUAUUUGUCUCCAUUCCAAUUGAUAUAUGGUAAAGCAUGUCAUCUUCCGGUGGAAUUGGAACACAAUACUGGGCAAUCAAGUUUUUAAACUUUGAUCCUAAAGUUGUUGGAGAGAAGAGAAAAGUGCAACUUCAUGAACUUGAAGAAAUGAGAUUCAAUGCUUACCAAACUUCAAAACUUUAUAAAGAUCGGGUCAAAUUUUGAAAAGAACUUUUGAACCAGGUCAAUUGGUGUUGUUAUUCAAUUCCAGGUUGAGGCUUUUCCCUGGAAAACUCAAAUCAAAAUGGUCAGGACCAUUCCAAGUCAAACAAGUAAAACCAUAUGGAGCAGUGGAAUUGGAAGAUCCUGUCUCAAAAAGAAGUUGGGUGGUCAAUGGACAAAGAUUGAAGCAUUAUUUUGGUGGUGAAGUUGAAAGGCACACCACUAUGAUCCUAAGUAAAUCAGACGUCAAGCUAUAUGACGUUAAACGAGCGUUUGCUGGGAGACAACCUAGUGUUUUGUUUUGAAAUGUGUCUUUAAUUUUUGUUUUGAUUUAGUAGUAUGUUUUAAUAUUUGAUGUCUUUAAAACCAGUUUGAUAUGUGAAAUGGUCAUGUAGGUUUCAAAUGUUAGGUGAAAUGAAUGGAUGGAAGAAAGUUUAAAAAUGUUUGAAACUUUUGGUAAAGACAAAAUGAAAAUUUUCAAGAAAAUUUCAUUGUAGGGUAAUUUUAGCUUAAACUAGAACCUUUAGCCUAAGCUAGAUAUGUAGAAAAAUAAAGAAAUUUUGUUCUGCAACUUUAGCUUGAGCUAAAAUGAGCUAGCUUGAGCUAGAAAACUCUGUUGCUCUUUGCCAAACUUUAGCUUGAGCUAAAAUGAGCUAACUUGAGCUAGAAAACUCUGUUGCUCUCUGCCAAACUUUAACUUGAGCUAAAAUGAGCUAGCUUGAGCUAGAAAACUCUGUUGCUCUUGGCCAAACUUUAGCCUGAGCUAAAAUGGGCUAGCCUGGGCUAAACAAAUUUGUUGUUCUCUGCCAAACUUUAGCUUAAGCUAAAAUGAGCUAGCUUGAGCUAGAAAAUUUGUUGCUCUCUGUCAAACUUUAGCCUGAGCUAAAAAAGAUCUAGCCUAAGCUAGUGGGAUUUUUUCUAAAAAAAAUGCAGAAUUUUAAAAUCACAUUUUUAAAACUCUGCACCCUAACUCAUUUUCAAUCAAUCAUUCUCUGUUUUAAAAAAAUUCCAUCCGAAAUCUUUCAUCUACAUAGCCAUUCUCAAACAUUUCAUCUACAUUACCAUUACCAAGGUAAGUAAUUAUUCAUCUCCAUAGCCAUUCUCAUUGUCAUUCCCAUUCAACCAUGUUCAUUCAAGCGUGUUUCCAUUUCCAUUUUAUAGUUUCGUUCUUAAAUUGAAAGAUUCAAUCUUUUUGAAAUUUCAAUGUCUUGAUGUUGAAUAGGAUUGUUGAAUAGGAUAUUCAAAGUUAAGUACUAUUUCCACGGAUUAAAUACCAAACCAAAAAGUACUCAUUCAAUGUCAUUUUAUACAUUGCAUAUCAAGUGUUUGUUAAAAUGCUAAUCAAAUAAAACACUUUGAUUUUGAGAAAUGUUUAUUCUUAUAUGUGCAUAAAAAUGGGUCGUACCAAAUCUACAACGGGUAUUAAUCCAACACAGUUUAACAAAGGAAAAAGAGCUAGAGUUGAGUCACCCAACCCAUCAAGAAAUAUUGAGCCAACCAAAGACAAUAAGCAAAGAUAUGAAGAGCUGAAAACUUGGACUUUUAUUUCAGAAAGGAAAAUAAUACUUUUUCCUGGAGAAUUUGAUUCCUUUUUUAACGGGCUACUGCAAAGAAAUUGGACAAAAUUGGCAGAUCCUUAUCCCAAGUAUGAUCCAAAUAUAGUUCUUGAAUUUUAUACAAAUGCUUAGGUUGAAGAUCCGAAUGAUUUGAAGGCCAAAGUCAAGGGUAUAUGGAUUUACUAUGACAGAAAUGCAAUCAACCAAUUUUUAUGAAAUCCAUUACCAGAUAAUGUGGAAUGUACUUAUCAAACAAUCAAAAAUUCAAGAGAUGAAUGAUUCAACGAGAGAGAUAUUGUAGAAAAAUUAUGCAUUCCAAACAAAUCAUUUCAGACAGGAUCCAUUGGGCACUCAUUAAGGAUAAAAAAAAUAUAUGAAGACUCUAGCUCAGGUUUGGAUGAAUUUUCUGCUGGCUAACAUUAUACAUUUAGGACAUGUCUCUAAGAGACAACUAUAAGGUUGAUGUAGCUCAAAUCAUAUAUGAUCAUAUCUAUAAAACUACAAGGCUGGAAAUAAAUAAAAAUAAUGAAAAAGCCAAAGGUUCCUUAGGGUUUCCAACACUCAUUACAACUCUAUGUGCAAGUCAAGGGGUGACAGUGAAUCCAACUAUAAAAAUCAGACCUGCCAUUGACAAAAAAUUCAUUGAUCAAAAUUGUAUCAAUCUUGAAGAAGUUCAUCAACAACCACAUCCUCCACAUUCAACUCAUGUUGAAGAUCAACCUUCUACGGUUCCUUCAGAACAACAUUCUGCAACUCCAAUCACAAUGGAGCAUAUCAUGGAAUAUAACAGAGCCUCAACAGAGCACAUCCAACUGCAGAAUGCCUCCAACCAUAAAGGCAUUUUGUACAUUCAACAAGGCCUUUACCAUGGUUCAUCUCAAGGUCAAAAUAAUCCAUGGAUGACACCUGCUGAAUUUAAUAAUUAUUUAUCUUGGCCUGGGACAGGCACAAUUUUUUAGGGGAAGUAGGAGCGUCUGAAGUUGGGAUUAGAGUUGGAGAUGAAUCUAAAAUGAGAGUUGGAGAGGAAGAUGUUACUGGUUUCUAUGCAAAGGAUGCACAAGAAAUGGGAGUUGGACCAUUUGGAGCAACAACAGAUGAAGAUCCAAACCAAGUUCAAAAUGAUGAUGUUGGCACAGAGCGGAACAAAAUCACAAGAGGAGAUUGAUACUUCUGAUGCACAAUGAACAGAAAAUUGGUUUUAUCUUUUUUGUUUAACUUUAAUUUCAAUAUUAAUUUAGUUUAAGUAGUUUAGUUUAGUAAGUUGACUUUAGCAGUUUAGUUUAAUAUUUCUUACUUUAGCUUUUGUUGAUGGCAAGCUUAAGUUAGUAUAGUGGCUGAUGUUUGCAUAUUUUGUGAAAUCUUGUAUAUAGAUAGAUGAUAGUAUAAUUUUUUUGGAAAAAGAAAUCAAACCAUAAUUAGAACAAUCAAAUGGAUUGAUCAGAGACUUAAUUUGAAAAAGAAUUUGUGGCUGGAAUCAUAAGUCAAAUUGAGAAAGGAUAGUAAUGUGUAAAAGUUGGAACAAGGUAAACAAUUGAAAGCAAUGACUAGAACAAAUGAGGAAUUGAUAUUAGCCAACCAAGUGAAAGUGUGAAACCUUUAAACAGUUUGAGAGACUUUCACUUGUGAAGAGUUAAUUGAGGUUGCCUAAUUUUCUAGUCAAUUUGCAUCACAAAAUCAAAUAUGGAGAUGAUUGAGGCAUGUUUAAUAGAGCUGGAUGUGAGAAAACCCAGGGCCAAACCGCUAACCUUUGCAAUAUAUAAUAAAUGUCUAGAAAAAUAACCUUUUUUGAACUGAAAUUUGUUUUAUUGCACCCUAACUUCUGAUAUACAUUUAUUGUCCUACCCUGUGGUAUGUUAAUAAAAAGAGAGCAUAGGUGCAAUUCAAAUUUUUAUAAUUAGAAGAAUUGGGUUUGGUGGGGCUGUUGGGAUCUUGAGAAUGAAAAAAAGAACAAAAAUAAAAAAAAGGGAUUACAAAAUAAUCCACAUUCUCAUUCUCUUUUCUAAAAAAAAAGAGAAGAAAAAGAAAAGAAAAGGGGAUUACAAAAAUAAAAAGGGAAGUAAUGUGGAUGAAUCUUAUGGAAGGGAUAAUGAAUAACACAAUUAGAAAUUGAAUUGCAAAUAUGUUAAUCUUUUGUUAAGUGUGCAUUUUGUUAUCCAGGAAAAACCAAAUUUUCUUUGUAACUCAACCUCAUUACAACCUGAAAAAGACCUCAAGAUCUAUGUUUGUGAAAGUAUUUGUAAUCAACUGGAAAUGAAAGGCAACCUUAAAUUAGCUUGGAAAUCAGUAAAAAGAGAGGGAAAACACUCACCAAUGAGGAAUGAAGAGAGAAAUUCCUUAGUUUGAUUCUUAGUGAAGAGUAACAAUUGUUUACCUUGGAAAUUGAAUACAUUCUUAUCUUGUCUUGGUUAGAAUUGAUAGGAAACACCAUAAUUUUUUGUUGAAUUAUCCUAUGCUCUUUUCAUGAAGUUGUUAUGAUAUUGAACUAUAGAUUUGAUUUCUAAGGAUUUUGGGGAGGAAUGAACUCUUAUUUUUUGGGAUUCAAUUACUUUGCUUGAGGACAAGCAAGAUUCUAGGUUGGGGGAAAAUUGAUAAGUGCCAAUGUGUAGUUUUUAUGAUUGAUAAAAUUGAACACUUUGGAACUUAAUUGUUGCUUUAUGUUAGAAAAUUACCCUAAUAUGAGAAUUAUUGAAUUCGAUUAUAUAUUUUGAACCAAGAAACAAAUUAAGAAAUUUAAUCUCAUUUUUUGUGUAAAUUGUAGAUGAAUAUGAAGCAUUGAAAGAAAGAAAGCAAAAACUUAAUUGGAUCACUAGAAGAUUUAUCUCAAGUUAGAAGAUUUAGCUCAAGCUAGAAGAUUUAGCUCAAGCUAGAGGAUUUAGCUCAAGCUAAAACUAUUCAGAUUUGAUUAAAGGUGCAGUACUAAUCUAGCUCAGGCUAGAAUUGCUAGCUCAAGCUAAAAAUGCACUGAAAGAUCUAGCUUAAGCUAAAUUGGCUCGCUUGAGCUAAAGUUCAAUAUAUAAAUUUUGGAACAAAGUAAAAAUAGAGGCGGUGAAACAAGAAGUGAUUUUUAGAGAGAAGCUAGUGAGAGAAAGAGACGAAAACCUCUAUUCUUAGGAGAAGAACUUGCUAAGAUCAACCCUUCUUAUACAAUCCAGAUCAAGAAUGAAGAUUGGAGGAGCUGUCAUGAGUGGCUAAGUGCUUUCUAACUUGGGAUUGAAUGUAAUCUACUUUGAUCAAAUGUAUUCUUGGUAGUGUGUAUAUAUAUAUAUAUAUAUACACACACACACACACACACACACAUAUAUAUAUAAUAUUUUCUUUUCUAAUUGUUCUUGGUGUUUUCGUUUCAUGCUUAUUGCUUGAUUCUAUCUGAUAAAUGCAGUCUUGAUUUUGAUCCUUAAAUUUAACUGGAAAGUACCUUUAAGGAUCUGAAAUAGAUGAAAAUACUUGAUAACUUGUAAUGCUAGGAAUAGAUUUCGAGUUUUUAAUUGCAUCAUAAUUCUGUUCAUAAAGUUGGAUGAUUUGUUUGAUAUCUGAGGAAUCAUUAUUUGAGAAAUUAUCUUAUGAAUUUCAUCUGUGAGGAAUCAAGGUGAAUAAAACUCAUUAAGCAUAAAGAAUAAGUAGUUUUGAGUAUUAUGUAUUGUAUUAUUCCAAAAUACAAAUGAUUGAAAUAGACUUAAUUCAAUCCCAAGUAUAUUUCUCUAUAUUUGAUAAGUUAUUUUUGUUUUUGGUUGAAUCAAACCCUAUAUCUCUGAGUUACUAGUGAAAUCUUUAAUUUGGUUAUGAACAUGUUCUCAAAAUUAUUUUCUAUACUUAAUGAGUUUUAUAACAGAACAUCUUAAUUAGAAUUGUUCCAUGUGGUUUUGACAUUCGUACUUUAAAGAGUACUAUAUUACAGUUGAUUCGGUACACUUGUCGAAAAAAAUCAACACCGAACUCUCCUAUGUUGUCAACAAAGCUUGUCAAUUCAUGCAAAACCCACAGGAACAUCACUGAAAAGUAGUUAAACAUAUCUUAAGAUACCUUGCUGGAACCACAACACAUGGUUUGCUCAUCAAACGUAGCCUCUCCAUGGAUAUCCUUUCUUUCAGCGAUGCAUAAUGGGGUUGUGACAUUGACGAUCGAAAAUCCACCACCGAUUAUUGUGUUUACCUUGGAACAAACAUAAUAGCUUGGUCUUCACAUAAACAAAAGAUAGUUUCGAGAAGUAGUACCGGAGCAUAGUUGUUGUUCUAACUGAGGUUAUUUGGCUUCAUCAAUCUCUUCUUCAUGAACUACACAUUUCUACUAGUCAAUCACAUCUCUUUACUGAUAACCUGUGAAAUGUUUUACUCAGUGCAAAUCCAGUCAUGCAUUCUCGUACAAAACACUUUGAAUUAGAUCUCCACUUUAUUAGGGAUUACGUUCAAAAACAACUCGUUAAGUUAAUUCAUCUUCCCACUAAAUUUCAAGUAGUCGAUGUUUUCACAAAACUAGUGUCUAGUCUUUCUUUCACUAGUUUUCGUCGUAAACUUAUGGUUACUUAUAAAUCAUAACUUUAAGGAGAUAUUAGAUAGAUACAUUUUUUUUAUCAAUAAUGAAUAAAUAAAAUUAGAAAAGGGAUAGGGUAUCACAAUCCUUAUAAAAACCACGAGACUAAACCCUCUUAUGGCUAAAACCCAAACCACUCUUACUAAGGCUUUAAACCUGAGUUGGUGCAAAGGGAGAGCAACCAAAAAAAACAUCAUAAUUACAAAAAGACCUACAUCCAACCUAUAUUGAAAAGGCCUAAAGAUUGGCCAAAACAUGUGCCUAAAAACUGCUAUAGGCAGCAUCUGGAGAAAGCGUGAGCAGCACAAGAAAACAUAAGCCAGCUGUAGCAAAUUCUGCAACAUGGCUCCCCUUAACAGCACCAAAACAACACCUUAAAAGCGAAAACCAGCAAACUGCAUCAAAGUUUCAUCUGUUAUCCGCAAUACUGCACUAGUCCUUACUCUUGGUUUUCUACCAGCAAAACUUCACGUGAAGUUCCCCAUAAGAAUUUCCACUCUGUUUUGCAUAAGGCACCAUUCAGCAGCAACUAUGAAGCCCCUUUAUCUACUGAAACUUGUCGACAACCGCUUGAACCUUCAGGCCAGAAAAACUUUACAAAAAGCUACAAAAAGACCGCAAGUUCCAAUUGCUUAAAAGCACAAACAGAUUAAAAUAACUGCGACAGGAUAGAGCUUGCCCUUUUUCAAGAACCCGCUCAACAAAAGUGUCUUACUGAUAUAAAAGCAUCUCUACCAGCCAAGAUACAACUCUCCAGUUAAAAAAAAAACACAUCAACUUGCCACGUAAAGACAAAAAUCUUCAUCUUCCAUUCCCCUACAAAACAAAACCAGAUUAAGCCUACUCAGCCCCCGCCAACCAGCUUCACAGCUAGACCUCUUCCAAACUUCCAUGAAAGACUGGCUACACUCCCUCCCCUGAACACACUACCUCAACCCAUCCAGAAUCUACCCAUCUUUUGCUGCAAACCAACACCAACCAGCAGACACCAAGAAACACUGAUAGGUUACUCUAUACAUCAACACUUCCAAGACAGCAGUUUCACAGCCUUACAAGUUCCCAUUACUAACCUUCACACAUAGCUUUUGAUGCUUAAAUUAGGAUUAAGAUUCCAAUAGAUAAAGGAACGUAACCUAUAUUUCAACCAUAAUCAACAACUCAGUUGUGCCAUUUGGAAGAUUUCGGCCGCAUCGAAAACUCCUUGGUUGAAGACGAUUUUGAAGAAGAUUAGGUAGUUACAUGCACAUGCACUAUAAUUACAUAGUUACGUAUACAUGCACUAUUGACCUAUAUAUGGCCUUCCAUCUCUUUGUAUGCGUGAAUAAUAAUAAUACAUUUUUUCUUCUCACAAUAGUUCUAACAUCACUAAAGAAAAAAUAUCAAUUUGUAGAAUUUUUAUUUACUUAAAGGAGAUGUAUGGUAUGUUCCGUGUAGCUUCCACGUGUUUCACAAAUUUUGAUGUGUUUUUCGAUACUAAGGACGGCAAGAAAUAUGCAUUUGCUAAUUUGCUUGAAGGAUGUGUAAUAAGAACCCUACAUUAUUUUGUUAUAGUUCCAUGACUAUGAAGCAUCGCAUUGCAUUGUUAAGCAAACAUAAAGAAGGUCGUUUUAUACCAAAAUGCAAACAUAAAUUCUGAAUGUUUUUAUUUAGAUUACAAGUUUUAAACAUUUUUAAUUUGUGUAUAAUAGAAACGCAGAACAAUUAUAUAACGUAUGAAAUUUAAAUAUAAAUAUAAACUCUAAAAAAUAGUUCGAUGUUCAUUUUAGAAUUACUUAUUUUUCAAGAUUUUAAAACGUAAAAAUACAUAAUUUAUAAGAUUUUCUGAUUUUGUUUUAACAAAUUUAAAAAAUAUAAUGUUAUAGAAACAAUUAAAUACUAAAAUUCGUCCUUACUGUUUUAAAUUAAAUAAAAGUUCAUUUAAAGAAUCUAAUAAAAAAAAUUCCAAAAAAUAAAUUUUGAAAUUUAAAGUAAAGAAAAAAUAUAAAAAGAUGAAUAGUAUAUUAAAAAUUAGACUAUGAAAGUCAACUGUAAUCAAAAGUCUUUUCCAUGAUCUGCAUUACAAACAUUAUAUUAGUGUGUCUAUUAUAUUAUCUAGUUAAAAAAUUAUAUUAAGUUUUUAUUUGUAAAUAUAUUUUUUACCAUUAUUUUCUCUGGUGACACUAUUUUUUAUUGAAGGUUCAUUAAUCAUUAUUUCUAAAUCAAUAUCUUCAUUCAGGAGUUAUUAUAACCUCCAUAUUUUUAGGUUUUAUCUCCUUCCUUUCUUCAAAACUUCAUUCUUCUUUAUUUCAAUGAUUUUAUCUUAGGAUUAUUUUUUUAAACUCAAUAUCUCUUUUAAGGAUACAAAUUAAUAAAUUAUCUUUGAAAAAAUAAUCAUAGAAUUUGGAAUUCUCCCAGUAUUGAAUAAUUGAACUUUACCAUCAUAUCCUUAUUUAUAAAUAACUUCUUAUAUCUUAUUGCAUCAUUAUUACUUGACUUUAAAAAUAAAGACGAUUAAAAAUGUAAGAAAAUUAUUUUUUAUCAGCAAAGAAGUUAUAUUUCUGUAGUAAAGCAUUUAAGGCAUUAUAAUCUAUUUAUACUAUAUUUACAUCAAGAAUGCCCUGCAUAUAGACGUUGCUCUCAUACUAUAGAUACAAUAUAAGCCUUCAAAAAGAUACAUAAAAAGUCUACCUCUCUGUUGCUUUAUCCCCUGCCUACGAAAUAUAUACUAAAUAUUUGAACUGUCCAUCUCAUUAACAUAAUUGUUUUGUUCAUUACUACCUGAAUAGUUCAUGAUCAACAUAACCUAACAUAAAAAAAAUUUGAAUUUACAUACAAAGAAAUUCGAAGAAAAUUAUUUUUAUUCCUUAUUAAUAUUAUUAUGAUUAAUGUUAUGGACAAGUAGUGUUGGGAGUAAUCAAACUCUAAAUAUAAUGAGUAAACAUAAAAUUUUAUAAUUAUUAUUCUUUGUUGUUAUAUUAUAAAAAUUAUUAUUUUUGUUAUUAUUAUUAUUAUUAUUAUUUUUAUCUUUUAUUAUUCAAACUAAUAAUAAUAUUAUUAUUAUAAUCAUUAUUUUUAAUUAUAAUAGUAAAAUUAAUAAUAAUAAUAAUAUCACUAAUAAUAAUGAUAUUAUUAUGAUUAAUAAUAUAAUAUUAUAUUUAUUAAUAUUUUUAUAUUUCUUAUGAAAUAAUACUAAUAUUAUUAUUAUUAUUUUUAAUUAUUAUUAACAAUAUAAAUAAAAAUUUUAAUAAUAGUAAAAAUAUUAGUAAAAAAAUAAAAAAAUAAUAAUAGAAAUAUUAUUAAUAAUAAUAUAAUACUAAUAAUAUUAAUAAUAAUAAUAAUUAUUAUUAUUAUUAUUAUAAUAAGAAUAUUAUUAUAUUUAAUAAUAAUGUUACUAAUCUUAAUAUUAUUAAUAUUAUAUAUGGAUACAGAAUCAUUAGAUAUAGAUAUUUGACUAAAUUACCUAUAGAUACAUCUUAAGUUAAUACUUAUAGAUAUAGAUUUGUGGAUAAAUUAUUCACGUAUCUUUAUCCGUAGAUAAUAUAUAUUUUGUUAUUAAUAUUAUCUACAAUGGGUAAGUCACUUAGGGAUAUGUAUUUGUUUAGGGAUAUGUAUUUGUAGAUAAAUUUAUCUAAGAAUCUAUAUAUGUAUAAUAAUAAUAAUAUUAUUAAUAUUGAUAGUAGUAUUAAUAAUAAUACGAAAAUUAUUGUUAAUAUUAUAAUUAUUAGUAUUAAUAAUUUUUUAAAAAAAAUUGUGGAUAAUAAUUCAUAUGUAUUAUUAAAUUUACCAAUAUAAAAAUUUGUGAGUAAUAUAUGUAUAUAAUACAGACGAAUAAAGGUUUUUAGAUAAUAUUAGUAUAUAACGUUGAAUUUACUUACAAAUUUGUAUUUGUGUAUAAUAAUUUAUCGGUAAUUUUGACAUCUUUUGUAGUGUUAUUUCGUAGUUUGUUUAAAUUUUUUUUUAAUAAUAUGAAUCAUUAAUUACGUGUAAUAAAUUGUUAAUUUUUGACUUUUUAUUUUACAAAAUCAUUAUUUUUAUAAGAUAUUUAAAUUUUGGUUUAAAAAGUAUAAAAAAAAAAUUAACAUUUUUUUUUCCAAUUUCAUAUCUUUCGAUAAUUUUUAUAUGUAAUACCAACAAAUAAAGAUUUAUGGAUAAUAUCCGUAUAUAAUGCUGAAUUUAUCUAUGAAUAUGUAUCCGUAUAUAAUAAUCCGUCAGUAAUUUUCACAUUUUUUUUAUUGUAACCCUUAAUUAUGUGUAGUAAAUUAUUAAUUUUUAACUUUCUAUUUUACUAAAUCAUUAUUUUUAUUAUAUAUUUAAUUUUUUGGAUUAAAAAUUACAAAAAAAAGACUUUAUUAUUUUUUUCCAGUUUUUUUAAAAGUUGAUGUGGGUCACCACAAUUAUGCAAGAUGUAUCUUACUUAUUACCCUACAAAUUUUAUGAGGACGAAGCUAUUCUAACCCGUAAAUCACCCUUAUAUAAAUAGGUGUGAGAAGUUGAAAUUCGGUCAUUCAGUUGUGGAAUGAAGGGCAUUUACCUCCAACAAACUUUUCAAUAAUCAUAUAAAAUAAAGUAUAUAUAAAAAUAAAAAAUGUACAAGGAUAGUAAAAAUAGAUCGUUUGGGCCUACCAAUCAAUCACUAAUUGGCAAUUGCUUCCUGCACCCAAUCAAUUUUGACUCGCAUUCAACGAAAAUUUUAAAACCCCAUUUUGUCAUUUUCACACAUUUGUUUACAGAUUUCAAUAUCCGAAAGUCAUUUUUAUACAUUCUGGAUUUUGAAAUCCGGAAGGUCAUCUUCAUAUUUCAUUUAAGCUUCCGGAUGGUCAUAUUCGGAAGUGAAUAAUGAGUUCUGGAUUUUCAUAUCCAGAAUGGUGUAUUGUAAAUGGUGCUAAGAAUUGAGAUUCGAAACUCAUUUAUGUUUGCUUACGGAUCUUGACAUCGGAAAGGUCAUUUAUGUUGUCCAAAUAAGUUUCCGGAUGGUGAAAUCUGGAAGUGACAUAUUAGUUCCAGAUUUGUAUAUCCAGAACUUUGUAAUUUGACUUACGGAUAUGAAUAUCCAGAAGGUAAAAGUUUAAAAUCAUUAAGGAUAAAAUGGAUGUUUCACGUGAGUGUGUUGGGUGCAGAUUAUAAGUGAUAUGGUGUAGGGAGAAUCUGUAAGAAAUUAUGUAAAUUAAUUUCUAUAAAGUGACUGACAUGACUUAGAGUUUGGGCUUUUGGCCCAAAUAUGAUUUAAUAAUAAUAAUAGAAUAAAGACCCAUCGGUUAAUGUGAGAAAUAUAUAUAUCUGAUGAUAUACUUAAUGAAAACCUACAUCUGAUGGAGAUUGGGGACUAAAGGCUAUAAGGUUCUGUCUCUGCAAAUGAUAGUUAUCUCACUGUUAACCAUCACGAAAGUGUGUGACAAGAACGGAAUUGCAAGAGAUAGAUUGGGAUAAAGGAGAUAAAGUAACUGCUCAAUUAGGAUCACUCAUGGAUCAAGGUAAGUGCCUAUUCCUUCUUGAUUGUAUGAUUGUGUGAGAAUCAUGAUAUGAUAAGAUCUAUAUGUGAACACAUUAUUGUAUGUGUUCAAUUUACGUUUAUUCAUGUUUUGACUUACAGAAUCAACCUCGCUAAUUUGACAAGUUGAGUUGAUAUUUUAGUCCAUCAACCCAUUCUUGUUUAUCAUGUCUAACUAUUCAACCCAACAAAUGAAAGAUGGGUGAAAAAGAUUAACUUGUCGACGUAUUUUUCUAAUUAAAAAAAAUAAUAUCUUUUUUAUUUCAUAAUUUGAAAGAUACAAAUAUAAAAUAAUAUCAUAAUUUAAAUCGUUAAAACUUAUAAAUGAAGUAAGUUUCAAAUAUUGUUUAUAUUGAAAUAAUUUAACAUAUAAAUGUAAUAAUUAUUUUAAUUUAUUGAAUUAAAAAAUUAUUUAAAAAAAAACAAAAGACUUAAAUUGCUAGACAAAUUAAUACUUUCAGCCAUAACGAUUAAUCCACUUAGACAAACAAUAGAUUGAACAAAAUGGAUUGGAUUGAUUAGUUUUAUUAUCCUAGUAAAUUAAGUGAGGAAACAUACAAUCAAAUGGGUUUCAAGUGAAUUGGAGUCUUGUGUUUCAUAAUACUAUUGUAGGGAAUUUGUAUCACUUUAUUGGUUCAGGUUUAAGUAAAAGGAAAAACUUAGUUUGGAACUCUGUGUGGACAACAAUGAUGUUAGAAAUCUGGUCUCACAAAAAUAGAGUUGUGUUUAAGAACGGUAUUUGUGAUGGAGAGAAAAUCAUGAGCGUAACACAACUGAAAGGGUGGGUAUGAAUUACUAAUUUGAAUUAAACAAAAUUUAAUUUUACUUAUCCUUUGUAGUGCUUGAGUCCUUUCGCAUGUUUACACAUGUCUUGAUUCUCAUGGUUUCGUUGUCUACAAAUAGGGCUUGUUAUGAUGCAUGAAAUUUGAUUAAAGGUUUGUUGUCACCUUGGGUAGUUGAAUGUAGUCUCUUAGUCAUUUCUCUGUCAGGUUGACAACUUCAUCUACUUUGGCACAUUAAGGAUCAUGCUAGUUUUUUGGUCCUAUACAAUGCAUAAAGGUGGAAGAUUGUUUUGUUAGAAAUUCUACAAGAUAGAGAUGUGUUCAAGUUAUUGUUAGUUAUUGAUUUCACCUUGAGCUUUUGCACAUAUACUGUAAUUUUCUGAAUUGUAACAUUUUUGUUCUUUUUGAAGUGCUUUUUGUACAUAACCUUGUGUUUGGGUUGAGGUACCACAUAUACUCUUUUAUUUAUAUAUUUUUUUUGCUGAUUAAAAAAAUAAAAUCAAAAUUAAAAAAUAUUUUUAUAUGAUUUUUCUUAGUCUCUUUAAAAAUAAAAAUAACAUGCUUUGGACAGAAUUUGUAUGACUUAAUUUUGUGCCCACGUGACUUUCAAGUUAGCUCUCCUACACUUGAUUAAUAAGAUAUUCAUAUUUGACAACUUUGUGGAGAAAACCACUUAUUAACUAUUUUUACAAAUUAAUAAUAAAAAAAAUUAAUUUUUCAAAUACGUAUUAAUAUUUAAUAUUAUAUUAAAAACAAAAGUAUGUGAAGUGAUUUUUGUAAGGAAUUGUAAAAAUGUAACUACUCUAUACAAAUAUUUAGUUUAAAGAAAUUUCUUUAGCAUGUAUGAAAGACGAUAUUUUGACAUCCAUAAAAAAAACAAGGUUAUCCCAACCAGAAUACAAAAGAGUUACAAUAACAAAUCAAGAAUGCAACUCAAAACAACCUAAACAAUAUCAGUGGCAACAUCAUAAUAUUACCUUCAUAGUACCUUUCCUGGUAAAUGUAAACCUAAUUUAGAACCACCUACAACAUACUAAACCUACUAGUGCACAAAACAGAAUUGGCAUGAACUAGGCCUAUGUUGCAUAAGAACUAGCAGAAGAAACAUAGAGAUGGCACGCACAAAUAAUCACUUAGUUGCAUAACAUUGUAGGAUUAACUUCAUAAACUGCAUAAAGACAAACCCUGCACCUGCGAUACCCUCUACUCCAACGCACCCUUUUCACAAGUCCAACAAUAGGAACAGUAGGCUAGGAAACUAUUAUGCAGUAUAUUUAUCUUUCAAUAUCAACUACAUCAUGCUACAACAUGCUAUAGUUUCCAUAAGCACCCAUAAAUGACUCUUGUUGAAGAUGGGAAGCUUUGAUGUAUCAAAUACUCAUGGAACCUGAAGUUGUGUUGUGUUUUAGGUUUGGGUUUAGUUAUGGGGUUUAGAAGCUUUGUAAGAUCAGUCUUGAUUCUCACACAAAACUUAUUUCAAAUUUGUUUUAAAGAACUAAGUGUUUUUCCAUGCAAAGGGAAAAACAACCGAUUAAAGUUUCGAGACAAUCAUUUGUUUGUCACUUAGCUGGCAAAGGAGUUUUGAAACUUUUUUUUGAAUCAGUUGUAUAACUGUUGAAACCAUCCAACCGGUUAAAUCACAGUUUUAACUGAUUAAAUGUGAGUUUUCAUAACAGUUUUUGAAAACCUGUUUAACUGUUUUAGUUGUUUAAAUCUGCCUUAAACGGUAGUUUUUCAAAGGUUAUAAAUAUAGCAUUCUUUCAAAUGUUUAGCGAGCGAAUAAAAGAGAGAAUUUUUACAUUCUGAUUUGAGAUUAAAAAAGAAGAAGAUUACCAACUGUUUGUGAAAGGUGUUUUUCCAAGUUUAGCAAGAUUGCUUUUGGGCUUUGCAUGGAUUCAAGAACUGAUCAAUAGGGUUUCUGGUGUAUUGUAAUUGUUUUUACCCUUUCUUAGUUUCUUGUAAUUGUUCAAAUUACACUAUGAAAAUAUGUUUGUAAAAUCCUGUAAAGUCAGUGUGAUUUUGGCUUGAGGUGUUUGCUAUGUGCAAAGAGGGUGAGUAGGCUUUGUGGGAUUCAAAGUCACCUCUUUGUGGUGUAUGUUUGUAAUCUGUGAUUGGUUACAUAGUGAAAUACUCAGUGGUUUGACUGGGGACUGGAUGUAGCUCAGGGAUUGAGUGAAUCAAUAUAAACCUUGUGUGUGAAUCUCUCUUAUCCAUAACUGCUUGAUAUUUCUACUGUUGUUAAAUCGUGUUUUUAAUCGAUUAAAAUUCUGAUAUCAGUUUCUGUUUGACUAUUUGAUUGGCUUUCUGAAAUUGGAUUCAACACUGAGAUAACCCUUUAUGAAUGUGCAUCAUGUAACAAUAGAAACCAGAAAAAACACCAAAAACCAGCAAAUGAAAAUUCUUUCUUGCAUAAUCCAAAAGACCUACUAAAUGCAGCAACCUUUCCUCUACAUAUUUGUUCAUUUUCAUUCACCACGACCUCCUUUCGAUCUUGGUAGUUGUUCGUGCUCUACAUAGUAGCAUCCCAAGAUUAUACAUUCAUUGAUUCAUUAAAAGUGUUCAAUCAUUCACGGUAGCAAAAUCUAAACCUUCAUUCCCUUCUAUAUGUUUCCACACCUUAAACAUUAUUCUAAACAGCACAUUGCCUAUCCUAUUCUCUAGAGGCAGUUCAUUCCUUUUAUUGUUUUAUUUCCUCAAGUUUAGCAGCAUUUUCCUUAAUUCCUUUCACAUCAGCUGCUCUAUUAAUAAACCUAUAAGUAGUGUCCCGUAUUUCUGUGCAUUUGGAGUGAAUUUCAAUUCAUUAAUCUCCCACGCAGACAUAAACCAUCAAUCCUUAUACACUUCUAAAAUUGUUAAAACUAAAACCUAUGACAGAGGUUCUCAAAGCUUCUCCAAAACAUUUCCAGAAUUAUGCAGCAAAGAAGCACAUCCUCAGAUUUUGCAUGUCCUCACCUGAUGUAACUGCCCCAUGUAUGUAGCCCUUUAAAUGCAGAUUUGUUCUUCAAGUACUCCCUAAGACAAAGCCUCUGCUUCAUACAGAGCAAGCUACAACUUUGAGAAUAUGGCACAAUCUGGUACAUCUACCACCACUGAAACUUUAAGCAGAGGUCAAACAACACCACAUAAGAGAAGUUUUCUUUUGUCAGAUAAUUUGCCGCUCCAUCUAUUCAUACAAGUCUUGACUAAGAGGGCCCUUUAUUUUUUUUUUAGUCAACAAAGAAUAAAAUAAAUUAAAAUGGGGACACUUCAUGGGUGUCUCAACCCAUAUACAAAUAUCACCAUUUAGCUAGCCUAUACACAUGUAACAAGAUUGCUCAAACCAGAUAACAGAUGCAAGGUACAAGUCCCUAUGAAACCACCUAACAUUGCCUAUGCUUCUUAAGGGACUGGACCAUGACAAUUAUAACAGAGCAAUAAAUAAAAAAGGUUCACAAUUUCUCAUCCAUACCUAAGCAACACUAUAUUUCAACCCCAAGCCAUUGAAUCAUCUUUAUACCUGCUUAAAAUCAACUAUACAAUCUUCCAAAACUGAAUACUUUUAGGAACCAAAUGUUUUGGUCAUACAACUUCCACCAAGCCCAUUUAAGCAACUAAUUAUAUAGAAAAAAAACGCUGACACUAGUUGGUUCGAUCAUACAACUUCAAUCAAGACCAUUUCGUUUCCAGAGCCAACUAUCACAUGAUAACUUUUGAUCCAUAUCAGAACAUCAAUCUAACACGUAUACAGAGAAAAAUUUAGUGCCCUAAACUGCAGAGAAAGGUAUCAGCUUCCAAUAGCGCACCUCUGGAGUAUACUUAGAAAACCAAAUAGUAGCUGCCAUUUUUAGCACCUAGCUUCAACUAGUAGAACCCCCAAUGAACCAGGAUCCCAAGCCAUUUCAGCUGCAAAAAAAUGCAUUUUCCCCACAGAAACAAUACUGCCACUUGGACUUGUCUUGAUAUUACCAACAAACUUCAAGAACAUUGAAGAGGAAACAAGCAUCUAGAACCUACAACAACCACCUGCUUGUUCGGAGAAAAAACCUUUAGAGCAUAAAGACAAAGCAACAAGAACCACCCAUUCCCACACUCCAAAGCAACAAGAACCACCCAUCACAGAGAAUAAAAAAACCAAUUCCUUUAUAGAACCGAUUCAAAAACUCAGGCCCAAAAAACACCAUGCAUCAUGAUACAAAACAACACAAUUACCUCUUAUCCUUCAAUUCCAUGCUCGAUAACGUUAGACCACCAUCAACCAAAAUAGGAGUAUAUAUAUAUACAUCUUUCGAACUACAUAAGCGCAAAGAUAGAACCACAUAAAUGCUAUCACUUCAAAUCUAAACAACAAGACAAACAGACCCAACUUGUUCCAAAACUUCAUUAAUCUUCAUUUCCUUCCACCUUAUAAUGUAGUUGUACCUGUGAACAAGUUGUUGCAAAAAAUUAAGACAUAUAAAUAUCUAUUUUGACUCUUGGGGCAUAUGAAGGGCCUCUCUAUCAAGGCAAAGAGAACCCCUUUACAACAGAGGGGUUUGCCUCUUCCAAAUAGCUUUUAAUUCAAGAGUCCGGGUUCAAAUACCAAUCCGAGAACGAGAAGGAGAAAGCAUGCACCCUAUGUUUCAUCCAUAACCACAAUCGAAGUUGUGCUAAAUGAAAGACUUCUUUUGCAUCAGGUUUCCCUUGCUUUAAAAAUGAUAGAUUUCCUUUCCUCCCAAAUGCCUCUUACAACUACCACCCACACUCCCUUCCAUACCAUAUUCUGCUUAGCACUUAUAUGAACCAAAUGAAACUUUUCAAAGUGAUUCUUUAACUCCUUAUUUUGGAUGAACAAAAUUCAUAACCAUCUAAAACAUAGAGACCAGACCCUCUGUGCAACACUGCAUUCUAAGAACAAGUGUUGAGUUGACCUUCUGAAGCAUGGUACAUCUCAUACAGUUGAACCGACUGCCAUUCCUCUCCUGAUCAGUCUGCUUCGAGUUGGCAUUAUAUUCAAGAUUACCCUCCAGGCAGUAUCUAAAUCAUUGGAAAAAGCUUUAACUAGCCAAAAUUGAUUGAAAAAACCAUGAGAUUUCCUAGAGUCCUGGAAUGUUAGACACUCAUAAGCAGAUUUAAUCGAGAACUCCCUUGAGAUGUCCCCUCCCCAAAUUUGGUUCUCCUUGAGUUCCUUAUUAAUAGAACUUGUAGAUAUGAUUCUAAGCAUAUUUUUUUCUUGCAUAGUUUCCUAUUCAAACCUGGCUCUCCUCCACCUUAAACGCCAUUUCCACCCUGAGUCUUCCCAUACACCUACCUCACCCACUACCAUCCAAGGAUAGAGAAUACAACCUAGGAAACAAAGACAUGACUUUAUCUCUACCAAGCCAUAUGUCCUCCCAAAAUCUAGCUCUAUUCCUAGCCCCAAUUUUCCAUUGUAAAGCUUUUUGAAACCACCCUGCUUUUUCCCCCUCAUUGCAAACUUUGGAUAAAUCUCGCCACCACCAAGACUGGAAUCUCAGCUGGGUUUGCCUACGACCUGAUUCCAACCCGUAUUUCGAACUCACUAGCCGUCAUUUCCACUUUGCCAGUAAAGCACUAUUGAACCUUCUAAUAUCUUUAAUUUUCAUCCCACCUUCCUCCAUAGGUUUGCAAACACUCUCCCAACUAACCCAAGAUAUGGCUCUUCUUUUUUCUCUGCCCCAGCCCAAAGGAAGCUCCUUUGAAUACUAAUAAUCAUGUUAUAAACCACUGUCAGAACUUUAAAAAAGGAUAAAUAGAAGAGAGGGAUGGUAGUAAGAACUAAUUUGAUUAAGCACAUCCUCCAUGCUAAUGACAAGAAUCUCCCUUUCCAGGCCCCCAACUUAUCGCACAACUUAUUAAUAAUUGGUUCUGAAAACUGCUUCUUUCUUGGAUUUCCUCCUAUUUCUACCCAUAGAUACUUGAAAGGUAACCUGAUCAGAUUACAGUUUAAAGAUUUGGCAUAGAGAUCAAGGACGCUUUUCUCAACAUUUAUACCAGCCAACUUAGAUUUAUGGAAGUUAACUUUCAGCCCAGAAGCAAUCUCAUAACACCUAAAAAAUGCUUUAAUAGAAAAGGCGUUGCUAUAAGAGUCUUCACACAAAAGAAACGUAUCGUCAACAAAUUGUAGCACACAAGCCUCCACCUCCUCCCUCCCUACCUUCACUCCUUUUAAUAGAUUCAUCUUAAGCGUUUGUCUAACUAACCCUGCCAAUCCUUCAGCUACAAUGAGGAAAAGGAAGGGGGAUAGUGGAUCACCCUGCCUCAGACCUUUAGGUGGUUUGAAUUAUGACGUAGGACUUCCAUUGACCAAAACAGACACCAUUACAGGCUCAAAGCACCCUUUGACCCACAUAAUCCAUCUAUUAUGAAAGCCAAGAUUGUGUAACAUAUGAUAUAGAAACUCCUACCUUACAUAGUCAUAUGCCUUUUCAUAAUCCACCUUCAGACAUAAACCACUCCUCCUAUACCCUCCUCAACUCCUAUACAACCUCAUUGGCCACAAGGACACUGUCCAACAUUCCUCUACCUUUCAGGAAAGCUGGUUGACCAUCAUCAAUAACCGUAGGAAGAACUCUCUUAAUGCGACAUGAAAGCACCUUAGUAACGAUUUUAUAGAUCACUCCCACAAAAGAAAUAGAUCUGUAAUGAUCAAGCUUUGUGGGGUCUCUUACUUUAGGUACUAAGGUUAUAAAAGACGCAUUACACCCCUUCGAAAAGAACCCCAUAUUUUGAAAAUGAAGGACGAAAUCAACAAUAUCCUGCUUAAAAGUAUACCAACUCUUUUUUAUAAAAGUAAAGUUGAACUCAUCCGGACCAGAGCUUUUUGAGCCUUCACACUGCCACGCCACUUCCUUUAUUUCUUCCUUAGUGAAGUUCGAGAUCAUUGAUAAGUGCCUAAUUUCAGUAAUAUUUCAUAUUAAAAUAUAGGCACUUAUGUGGUUUUAUUGCUAAUUUACAUAUAAAAUAAUCCCUAAUUUAUGAAUUUAUACCUUUUUACAUUUUUUGUGAUGUUUAUUUGAAUAAGAGCUUUUUAUUUCCAAAUUUGGUAUUAAUUGUAGGUUUUUAGGAAAGAUUUGAGAUUUGAAUUAAAGAGGAAUCAUUUGAGCUAAAAAAGAGAAAGAUGGAAGGUCCCAGAAUGGAGAAAAGUGCCAAAAAAGCCAAUUUUGAACAGAAGAUUCUCGCUCAAGCGAGAAUGCGUUAGACAGAUUGGGCAUUUUUUAUGUUUUAUUACUUAGCCCAUUAGCGCGACACAGGAAGCGACUUAACCCUAGAAAAUUAGGUUAAAUAGGGGGCUAGACGCUUAAGCCUAGUGUGCCAAAUUGAGAGGAAAACAUCAUUGAGUGAAUUGUAACGCAAUUAGGACAAUUGAAGGUGCUAGAACCUGAAAGAGAAAGUUUGCAAACAACUUGUAGAGGACGAGAAGAAACCUAAAUUCAAACUUCAAUGUCGAAGAAAAGAGGAAGUGAAGAACUUAAAAGUAUUCAACCCCAAUUUCUGAAAACCUAAAUUCACAUUCUAAAACACCAAAACUUAGAGAUUAUUUUGCUGGACCCCACAACCAAAAUAAAAUAUUAUUAUUUAUGCCAGGUUAACAGUUGUACCGUGGAGCAACCAAAUAUCAAGACUCAAUCCAAUUUGAUUUGAGAUACUGUAGAAGGAAAGAGCUGCUUUUUGUCAGCAAUGUAGCCUCUGAUCGUGGUAUUAGAUUCAACUUCCGUUUACCAUUUUCCACCAACUAAAUUCAGCUUUUAUUUUGGGGACAUUUAUAACUCUCUCUGAUGCUUUCUGAUGCUUUGAAUUAUCACCUUUGGAUGCUUUCAGCCGGCAGACAAAGUUGUCCCGAAACAGAAACAAGAAUGUGCGUUUUGGAACAACCUUAAUGAUAAGAGAUGUGUCAGUGACGGUGGUGUGAGAUAACUACUUUCACGGUGCAUGGGUAAUCCCCACUCACAAUUUUAUUUCUUAACUGAACGCAUCUCCACAAUAUCAAACACAACAUUGACUAAGAGAGGAAGCGAAGUUGAAGAACAGAAAAUCAAUGGCAGAGGCGCACGUGCUGAUCUUCCCUCUUCCAUUGCCCGCGCAUGUUGUGUCCAUGCUGAAGCUCGCCGAGCUUCUGGUCCUUGAGAAUCUACACGUCACCUUCCUCACCACCGACACCAUCCACGGCCGCCUCACUCGUUUCGGUGACAUCCAAUUUCUCUCAAAAUCUUACCCUAAGCUCCAUUUCAAGACCAUUUCCGAUUGUUACGACGAGGGUGACCACCCUGGAUUCGGAGACCGUCUCUGGGACCUUAUUUCUUCCACAACUCUCCACGCUAAGCCCUUCUUGAGAGAUAUUCUGCUCUCCCACACUCCUCAAAUUCCCAAACUUAGUUGCGUUAUUCAGGAUGGUAUCUUCGGAAGCCUUUCCGCUGACGUCGCUUCUGAGUUCAACGUAUCCAUACCAAUCAUUCAAUUCCGAACCGUUAGUGCUUGUUGCUUCUGGGCUUAUAUGUCUGCUACAAACCUCCUCCAGUGCCAAGAACUUCCAAUUAGAGGUAUAUAUACGGACUUUAAAUUCAUUCAUCUCUCUCACCCUAUCUAGCUAUAGUAGUAUCUUACUCAUACCUUCUUUAAAUAUGCGCAUUCCAUUUAGUAUAUAUUCCGAUUUCUUAUAAUAACUUCGUUAUUAACCGAUAUGGUAGACAAAAUUUGUAUAGAUUUAGGAGCAUUGGUGAUGUGGUUAACAUUAUGAUGUGAGUGGUUGUGGUUGUAGGAGAUGAGGACAUGGAUCGAAUCAUAAAAGACAUCCCCGGCAUGGAAAACUUGCUUCGCUGCAGAGAUCUUCCAAGUUUCUUUCGACCAGACAAAAAAGGGAACUCCACUUUUGAGUCCCAUGUCGACCGGAGCCGACAAUCGCUUGCAGCAGACGCGAUUAUCGUCAACUCAUUUGAGGAUCUAGAAGGCCCUGUCCUCUCCCAAAUACGUCAUCAUUUUCCCAAAGUUUACACCGUUGGCCCUCUCCACUGCCAUUUGAACACCAGAAAAGCAGAAUCCAACGAAGGAGAAGACAUUCCCAAGUUUAAGAACGCUAUUUUUCAAGUGGACAGGACCUGCAUGACGUGGCUCGACGCACAACCUGAAGGGUCGGUGAUGUAUGUGAGUUUCGGAAGUAGCACUAUUGUGAAAAGGGAAGAUUUAACGGAGAUUUGGCAUGGUUUGGUGAACAGCAAGAAUAGGUUUCUGUGGGUGAUGCGCCCUGACAUUGUUGCAGGAAAACAGGAUGAUGACCGGAUACCGGCUGAGGUGGAGGAAGGGACUAAAGAGAGGGGGUUCAUAGUAGAGUGGGCCCCGCAAGAGGAGGUGCUGGAACACAAGGCCAUUGGUGGGUUUUUGACACACAGUGGGUGGAACUCAACCUUGGAGAGUGUGGUGGCUGGUGUGCCCAUGAUUUGCUGGCCAUACUUUGCAGAUCAGCAGAUUAACAGCAGGUUUGUGAGUGAGGUUUGGAAAGUAGGGUUGGACAUGAAAGAUGUGUGUGAUAGAGAUGUUGUGGAGAAGAUGGUAAAUGAUCUCAUGGUUCAUAGGAGGGAGGAGUUUCUCAAUUCAGCUAAAGCAAUGGCUACGUUGGCUCAUAAGAGUGUGAGUCCAGGUGGUUCCUCUUACUCCAGUUUCCAGGAUUUUAUUCACUACAUUAAAUCAACCAGCAGGGAAAAUAAUUAACACUGCCACA
rnacentral:lncRNA from 1 species